CUAGAUUAGUUUAACAUGUGAAAUGUCCGUAAAGUAUCAUCACAUGAUUGGCUUUAGGGCACAUUUCCAACAAUAAGUGCCCUUAAUUGAUCGAGAACGGAGGGUGGGAAUCUACCAAUGCCGUGGGUUUUGGGAGUCAAAACCAACCAAGGAAUGAUCCGUUCUCGAAUACAUACAAUCCAGGCUGGAAAAGAUCAUCCAAAUUUCAAAUGGAGGGACCCCCAACAAACCCAACAACAAAGUGCAUUCAGACAGCAACCUCCGGGCUUCUAUCAAAGGCCGUAUACACCCGCACAACCCCAAACACAACCUGCCCAAAAUAACUCAGGUUCGUCUUUUGAUAAUGCUCAAGUUAUUCAGUUACUAACUACGUUGGCGAAGGGUCAGGAAAAUCAAACCAAAGAUAUGCAUAAUUACGCCAAUGAAGUGCAAAAUCAAGCUUGAGAGGUGACUGAAUUGAAGAGACAAAUGGGAUAAAUGGAUGAGUUCAUAGGGCAAUUUAGUAGAGAACAACGUAAGUUACCUAGUUCGACAGAUGUGAAUCCAAAGGGAGGCUUCGAAUCUGCCAAAACCAUCACCUUGCGAAGUGGAAAAGAAGUUGGAUCUGAUCCCAGCCCAUCUAAAUCCAUUCAAAAGGAGGACGAAAAGAUGCAAUCUGAGGGGAAUGAACAAGGCCUGCCCUCGGCAAGGAUUGAGCAAUCUUUGCCGUAGCCACAUACACACCCUAAUUCGACCACCAACGGUAAGUUGGAUUCAAAUUCCAUGACUUUUAAUUCCAUUCCACCCAAUGCACCCUUUCCUCGCAGGUUUAUGCAAUCAAAGAAGGAUGAGAGUGACAAAGACAUCUUUGACACAUUCAGAAAGGUGCAAGUCAACAUUCCACUUCUAAAUGCAAUUAAAUAAGUCCCCAAGUAUGCUAAGUUCCUGAAAGAGAUGUGCACUAAAGGGAAGAGGGCUUCGAACAAAAAGGUGGUAAGGGUAAGUGAGAAUGUCUCAGCUGUGUUGCAAUGAAAAUUGCCUCCUAAGUGCAAAGAUCCCGACAGUUUUACAAUUCCUUGUGUUAUAGGAAAUACUCGCUUUGAAUCUGCCAUGAUAGAUCUAGGUGCAUCAAUAAAUGUCAUGCCUUAUUCAAUAUAUGCAUCUAUGAACUUGGGAGAAUUAAAAAAUGAUGGAGUGAUCAUUCAAUUGGCCGAUAGAUCUAAUGUGUAUCCAAAAGGUGUUUUGGAGGAUGUUUUAGUGCAGGUGAAUCACCUAGUCUUUCCUGCGGACUUCUACGUGCUUGAAAUGGAAGAUUCGAACCAUUCCCCUCAAUUACCAAUAUUACUUGGCCGACCAUUCAUGAAGACUACCCGUACAAAGAUAGAUGUAUUCAAGGGAACAUUGACCAUGGAAUUUGAUGGGGAAGUUAUUGAUUUCAAUAUUUCUGAUGCUAUAUCCUCAUGAUGGUCACUCUUGUUUCUCUAUUGAUGUGAUUGACUCUUUGGCGCAGGAAUUCCUUAAUGAUUUGAGUGAUGAUGCACUUGAAAAAGACUCUCAUGCAAAGCAUUGGACUAAAAAACGAAGGGUUAGCACUUAGGCAUGCACACGGCAACAACAAGGAACACUUUGCCGUGCCUAUUCAAGAAGAAUUGGAGGAGAUGGUUGAUGCGAGAAUUACUUGACACACAAAUUAAACCCUCUUUUUGACAGUUGUAGUAUAGUUGUAAGUAGGGUAUCGUUCUAGGCCGGGGAUUAGGAGGGAUUGCUAAUCUAUUCUAAAUUAAUUUAAAAAUAUUAAAUAAGACUCAAGGACACAAAACUAGGCGAAAAACUCUAAUAACUCGAAACACACUUAAAAUGACUCAAAAUAAUGAAAACAAUUAAAUUAAACACUAGGAACUGAAAUGGACGGAAAUUAAAUUAAAAGACUAACAAUAAAGAAAACUAACUAAAUAAUAUAAUUUAAUAAUGGAUGGGUGUUUGGUUUUGAUGAAAAGUAAAUUAAACUUAAUUAAAUUACAGAAUUGACAAAAACAUGAAAUUAAGAUGAAAAGAUAGGUGACAGACUAGCUAGAGGGUUCUUCUCCACACAUGACACAUAUGCAACCUAAAUUGAUUUUUCGGUUGUUCUUUCAAUAAAUUGUAAAUCUCAACGCCCCAAAUUAACCGUGAAUUGCACUAAUUAACCCUUAAUUUUUCCACAAGUUAUUGGGUUGGAUGAUUGCAUACGACAACCCAAAACAUUCCCUACAAGUUCCCUACAUGAAUUGCAUAAUAGAGAUACAAGCAAGAAUCAUUAAGCUCUAUGAAAAACAUAAGCAUUGACGAGGCACUCGUUACUAUGAUUUGCAUGAAACUUAUGCCAAGAAUUCACUUAACGUGAUUGUGACUAGCAACCUUCACUACUUGUGAAUAAGUUCAUAACGAUUAGGUGAAAUUCACUUAUAUUCUAGCAUCAAAUUCAUGCAUGUAAAUUAAGUAUGCAUCUUUAAUCGACAUACAAAAAUAAGUUAUCAAUCAAACAGUUAAGCAAAUUAAAUCACAACUCAGAAAUCACAACUGAAGGUAAUCAAUUCAUAUUACAAAUAUAUUCAUGGCUUUGAAUUAACCUCUAGCCAAAAUAAAAUUAGUUACACAUUAUUAAAACAGAAAUAAAAUAGAAGUUUGGAAAGAUUAAACCGAAAGAAGGUGAUCUGUUGCGUUCGUGCCCGUGUGAACUGCGCCUCGCUGGCGCCCUCUCCUUUCCUGCAGCUUUCCCGUGUCUUAUCCAGCUCAUCCUGCCCUUCCACCUGCCCGCUGCUGUCAGUCCUUCUCUUCAGUUCACGCUGCCAAAUGGCAGCUUCCCCCCGCGUCACACUGCCUUGCGUCCCUGCUGACCUUCUCUCCUUCCUGCGUCUCUGCGAGCUGCCCAAAGGGCAGCCCCUUUCUCCUUCCCGCUUCUGUCUCUCUAACCUCGCUGCCAAAGUUGCCAAAUGGCAGCUUUCCUCUUUUCUUUCUCUCCUGCCCCGCGUGUUCUCUUCUUUCCGUCUCUGCGAGCUGCCCAAAGGGCAGCCCCUUUCUCCCGCUCCCCCCUGACCUCCUUUUCCGUUAUUUUCCAUCCCUCUUAAAUUUCUCACGUCUCAUGUCUGCCUUCUUCUCACCCACCUAACUCUGUCCACUUCCUCUUAUUUCUUUUCCGCACCUGGCUCCUCACGUCACUCCUCUUUGCUUCAUUUUUUUAUUUUCUCCACUAUCUCAUGUUUCCUGCUUUAUUUUCUUAUUCUUUCCACCAAUCCAUGCGCAUUCCAUUUCUAUUUAUUUUCUUUUGUUUUUCACUCAAUGCUCACCCAUUGUCUCUCCACUCCCUCUACUGGUAAAGGCAGCUUUUUAUUCAUUUUUCUUCUUCUUUGCCGUUCCUUUCUUCUUCUACAAAACAUGAAUCAUGAUGAUGUUUCAAACAUCAUCAUGACUUAUCAUUAUUAUUUUAUUUAAAAGCUGAUCUACACAGACAGUUUUGACGAAUUUAUUACAUAAAAUUUCACUUGAUCUAUUUUUAUUUUCUUUGCUAGACAAAUCCUAUAAUAUGCAAAAACAAAGUAAAUAGCUCAAAAAUAUAAGGAACUAACUAAGAAAAGACGAGUGAAUUCGAAGUAAAAAUAUAUAUAAAUAUGAUCCAAUCAAAUACCCCCACACUUAACUUUUGCUAGUCCUCGAGCAAAACAAAGAAAACAAGAACAAGAAGUAACAAGAAAAACAUUAGAUUCCCUCUAUGUGACCCUCAUAGAAUUUCAUUCAAGAAAACAAAUCAUCAAGAACCAUAGCUAGCAUCAAGGAACUAAUCCAAGUUCAUCUUCCUAAUUCAAAUAUUAGUAGUAAUCUUUAAAUCAUCCUUGAAGUGUAGUGUGUGAGAUAGCCAUGCUAAUGCAAUUUCAAGUUUUUAUUUUUAAAAUCAUCAUAUGCAAACUAGCAAUCUUGUCACGGGAUAUACACUCAAUCACACAUGUGUUUAGUUUUAAUGUGUUUCGCUCAAAGAAACAAAUGUGAAAUUUCUACCAUAAGCUUGCAUAAAGAUCACUUCUCCACAGUCAUAAUUGCAAAACUUAAAUCAAGAGGACUUUUAUUGGAUGUAAUGAGGCUUAGGGAUAGGAUUAUUGAAACGAAAGAAUAGGAAAACACAAGUUCCAAGCUACAUUGCAAGCAAUUCUUUUGUUUAGAUUUAUAAGAACUCAAGCUCUCCAACGAUUCUUCUGAAACCUCCAAUCACACCCUUAAACUGAAACUUUAAAAACUUUUUAUUUUCUUUGUAUACAAUCUUUCUUUUUCUUUUUUUUUUUUUUUUUUUUUUUUUUUUUUUUUUUUUUUUAAAUACAAACAUGAAAUACCCCAUACUUAUUCUUUUGCCAAACACCUUCAAAGUACUUCACAAACAUUUCUCAUAAGACAAUCUCACAUUGCUCACUAGCUUGCUUGGAAAGGGUAAGGAAAAAUGUUUCAGGUAUAAGGGUAGACAUAUCUGGUGAUAAGAAAUAAAAGGCUCAACAUACACGACUCAAAUUGGCAAUCUAAUGAUAUCAUUUUUAUUUGGGAAACAUGGUUAUUUGGGCCAUAGUGGUAAACCUAAUGCCUCUAUUAUUUCCAAGUUCAUGCAAUCAAUGACAAACAUUUCGAAAGAUCGUUACGCAAGUUCUAGAGAUGUAUCUCACAUAAGUUCAUCACACAUGAAAGAAUAGGAGUGUAUGAAAAAUGCACACACUUUCAAUCGGCUCAAAAACUCACAUAGGAUGUAUAUGGUCACUAAAUUGUUGCUUUUUGUUUUCUUAAUUAGUUUUUUUUUUAGAAAACAAAACUAAUUAAGAAAACAAAAAGCAACAACACAGAAACAAAUGAAAUUCUAGAGAUUUCUACCCCCACACUUAAACUUGACAUUGUCCCCAAUGUCAGAAAACACUAUAACGCAAAUAAAAUAAAAUAAAUAAAUAAUAAGAAACAAAAUAAAGCAAUUGGACUGAAAACUUCCCUAAUUUGCAGUAAAAUCAAGCGAUGACCCCCAAGAUAAAAUUCUGCAAUCAACUUCAAGGGUGGAAAUAACCAAAAGUUCCUGCAAAGAAAAGAAAUAAUUCAGUUAAGUGACGCAAGAAAAUGUAAAAAAAAAUUGCAAACGAAAAAUUGAAAAUCACGAUAAAAGACAAUGAAUAGAACUAAUAAGUGAUCAUUGGUCGUGCUUGUUGACUUUCCACAGCUUUCCUCUUGAACAGGGUGACACUUAGCUUUUUACUUGCAAGUGAUGAUUUGAUGAUAUUGUACGGCGAAGCUUUGCUCUUUGGUGAUGUUGCAGUUCCUUAUUUGUUCUCCAAGCAGAAGUGGCAGCUUCUCUAGUUCCUCAGCUCGGACUCCUUCCGCUGGAAUGAUUGUGCAAGCUGCAUUCUUCUCUGCUCGUUUCUUCUGUACGUUGUCUCCACAUGCUGUUGGUAUCAUUUUCGCUUGCCUUAUCUGUUCUUCAGGUAGAUGUGGCAGCUUCUUUGGAAGUACAUCAGCAAUGGAAGACGAGUACUCGAGAGCAAUUUCUCCAUGUCCUGCAGGUUAGAACAAAGACAAGGAAAAGGACAUGGAGAAUGCAUGAUAUGAGAUACUCUUGCUUUCAACCAUUAUGAUAUGAAAUACUUUUGCUCUGGAUGGGUUGUUUGCAGGGUUCCUAUCCCAGGGAAUGAGGAAUACAGUGUGACUCGAGAGGGUUUUUUGGGAAUGCAUUCUCGGAGAUGAAGAAGUGCUGAGAGGGUGUGCCUUUGCUGUGGAAGGCGAAGGUAAAUACUUAUAGGACUUUUCUUCACAACCGGAACUAUUCUCUCACUCAUUGUCGGCAGCCGGUGGAUGGAUGAAAUAGUACAAAUUACGCGCUUUCUGACAAAGCUGCCCGUAAUUUUCGCAAAGCAGAUUCCUCAUUGAUAUCUGGAAUCGGCGCUUCGAGCUCCUGAGCAUCGUCGAUUUGAGAGUAGCAUGUGACACGUGCGGAUAAAUCUGGAAAAGAAGAUUUGCCCGUGGGUUGAAGCCCAGCUUUUGAGAAAGCUAGCGUGUCUUUGACUGUUGAAUUUCCCUCUUCGAUUUCUGAAUUGGUGCUUCGACAAACUGUCCGAGAAUUUCGCAAAGCAAUUUGCGUGUGACAGCAAGUGACGACACGUCUGGACAAAUUGAUCUUUUGAAAUCCGGGGUUCGGCUCGUGGUUUCUGAGCAAGCCCAGCCUUUAAGAAAUGAAACGCCUCUUUUGAGAAAAGAAUCCGGCUUUUAAGAAAUGAGCGUCCUCUUUUCAGAAAAGAAUCCGGCUUUUGAGAAAGGAGCCCCGCCUCUUCGAUUUGCGAGAGGACGCCUCUUCAAUUUCUGAGGAGCGCCUCUUUGAUUUUUAUAGAGGCGCUAAUUUUGUUCCACAACACACUUGAGCUCCCUCCUGUAAACACUCCCUUCUUGCACUUGUUUAAUCUUGAUCUGUCCGACUCUCUUCUUUCUUCACCACCUCUGGAAAAUGUCUGGCCUUUCCGAUCGUCGUUUUGACUUAAACCUUGGUGAAGAGGCAGCUCCGCCUUCACCAGACAACAUAUGGCCAUCCUUCAUAUCCCCUACCGGUCCCUUACCGUGGGGAUUGGUUGAGAACUGAAAAUGAGCUGUAGGGUGGUGGGGAGCCCUGUCACAGACCGUCGACUGCAUCGUAGACGAUGAUCCAUGAGUUGGCGAGCGGUUAAAGAAGCGCUAUGUUUCAAGACUCUCAAGUGAUGUCAACAGAGAGGCAAUCCGAGUGUCGCCCUCGAUUCCUCGCUUACGUAGAGGAGAAGUAUAGGUAUUGUUUGCGAGACCGCUAUCAAUCUGUUUCCUACCUCUAGAGACUCACCGACGUCUAUGAAGCCCGGUGGGUACAUAUUAACAAGGGGUCUUAGGUGAAGAUGAAAGACUGUAAAAGUGGAAGAAAGAAUCGAAGACAAUGAGUAACGAAUUACCACAGCAUGACCUCGCGAGAUGCUGCGCUUAUUACUCUCCCAAGUCGACUCAGAAAGAUUGAUUAAUUAGGCAGGGUUUAUUCCCACAGACAUAAAUAUGGAAGGAACGGUAUGUAGUGAAACAACAUCCGUACCGUACAAAUUUCUAUAAACUCUGACUUUCCUGUGCGUGAGUAAAGGUUCUUUGAAGGAUAAAAUAUGUCUAAAAAGUCUGACAUUUAUGUGAGUGUCUUAUUGGAGAGUGUGGUAAUCGCUGGAUCGGUACACUAGGUCGUAAGUUCUGAAAUACGGAUAUUUAUGAUAUGUACACCAAUGUUGGCUCGAGAUAUGAAAAUUCUAUUUACUGCGCCUUUUCAAGAGUCAGUUUCUAAAACCACGAAACCCGAGACUCUCCCUGCUGAAUAUAGCCGUUGAGACACGUAGUCAACUUUCUUAUUUACCCUGGAAUGCCCAUCAACAACCAAAUCCGAGCAGAUGCUCCGGCACUAUAUAGCGCAAGUAAGCAAUAGUGUUAUAACUAACUUUUAACAUAUAUACAUACCGGUGUCUUUUAUUUUUUAAAGUGUGUGUUUUUAUUAUCUCAAUCAAUUUCUUUAAAUAUUUUUUGAAUUUGUCCCUCUACUAUUUGCAGAUAGUUUUUAAAUCUAUUAAGAAUAAUGCCUUUUUAUAAUAUCCUAUUUAUUAUUUUAAUCCUCCUUCAGUUCAUAAUUUGUGUUUAUCGGUAUGAACAUUAUAUUAUGGAUACCAUCAAUUGGAUCUUUCUCGAGGAGUAAUUCUGUGAUCGCGCUACAAAUUAAACUAUAUUGAAACCAAUACUAUCUCUUAACGAAAAUUAGAAGAAAAAUUUAAAAAUGAAAUGAAAAGGAUUAACCUUAACAUGAGAAAAAAUGAAACGUCGAAGUAUAAAACGAUGUUAACUCAGGUGGAAAGAAAUGACUUAGAGAGCAAUGUCAUCUUGGGAGUUUUUAGUUAUCCCUAAAAGUCUUAUCCCGGUCAUCUGAAUGUCUUGAGAUUAGCUACCACCCAAAAAGGGCGGGUGUUGCGACCGUGUAUAACUUAUAAUGAGGUCAUAAAAAGCGACACCCGGUGUACGAGGAUUACACUCUACCUGGUUUGUAAAUUCGACACCUGGCUAGUAAUAUUGAUAGCAUAUACAGGAAAGAAGUAACACAACUUAUCAUCAUACCAAUAGUCAAGGAUAAUUCCUUGGAAACACAAUGAAUAAGUUACAUAUUACCCUAAAGAUGCACAAUUGGGGACGUAUAUUGCUAAACCUGUAGCAAUACAAAUAAUAGCACAAUAAAUUCCUACACGGACAAUGUGCGCUUACAGCCUUGCUGCUCGAAUCCUUUAUUAGCCUAGAUACAGGCUAAUUCGACGGGCCUGCCACACACCGGCAACACUCGAUUUGCAGUAGCAUGUGUUGAAGAGAAAACUUGACAACAAUCUUAAAUCACUGUACUAUCCUCAUAGUUAUCCUAAGUGUAGAUUAUAUUUUGUAAGCUAGUGGGUACUUUUCCGUCUCCUAGGGGGCGCGGAUUAUAGGUUAUUGUUAUCAUUACUUAAUCCCUCUUGAUUCAUUACUACAUUCAAUGUGUUAAAAUGAAUAUGUUCACUGACCACCCUCAAGGCGUAAUACGCGCAACUCAAAGAGGAAAUAUAAGAAUUCCUCUAAUUCAGAACUCGUGGAGAUUCAGUUAUCGUAAAAUAUGGAGUAAGUGUACUAAUGAGAUAAAAGAUACAUACCAAACAUGUAAUACAUUAACAACCCCAUAAGAGCAAAACAUUGCUCAACUGGAACGAGCGGAGAAAGUCUCCUCCUCCUCCUCUCCACCAUAGGUAUUGAAGAAGACACCAGACACACCUAUAAUAAAUAAUAAUUCUACUUAUGAAGUGGUAGCGAGGAUGCAGAAACGCAAUCGUUUAUGGUUGUCGUGACAUAUCGAUAAUAGCAAUUAAAACCUUAAAUAGUAAUAGAGAAUUUUCUAAUCAAGAAGAUUAUGACGAGACAAUCAAAGACGUCAAGAAAUGGGGUUGACAUAAUUUGCAAGAACUGAGGAGGCGAGUUUACAAUGAAGUAACUACGUAGGAUUACCUUAUAUAGACAAGCAACCGAAUUCGAGAAUUCUGUACACAAUUCAAGAUACAAUUGUAGUGCUCGCGCUCUGGCGCGUGUACUCGUACAUAUCUUUUAAGAAGAUGCAAAACAUUGUCAGAACGCAUGCCCUACCGAGAGCCUCGAAGAAUUGGACUGAGUGAACAAAUUGUCAAUAGGAAGAUGAACGAGACAACAAAUCCUUUCAUGAAGCCCAUAUAGACUGUGCCGAAUGGGUCUGAUUUUUGAACUACUCGCAACAAACUACGCAACAAAGCCAGCAUAACAGUAUACAUUGAAGCAAUGCACAGGCACCUAAAUCCCCGUUGCCGCACCGAGACAAAUACACGUAGAGUAACCGAGUGCCUCAGACCAUAAGUUGAUAUAACACAAAAUGUUCUCACCUCCUCUCUCCGAAAGGUUGCGUACCUCUUGUUACAGAGCUAUGCUGGUCUCUAAGGAACACCGGUAUGCUGGAUAAGAAAAUUAAUUUGAGUUCGUGUAACUUCGAUUAUCGUGUUGUAUUCUCUAAUAAAUGCUUAGAUUAGUAUACUGUACUUUAGAUAGCGUCUAAUGAGUCUGAGUAAUUCUUAAGAUAGUCGACUCACGUAAUCACAUAAUUACUUUUAAGGACAAUCCUAGACUUCUUUUCGCUAAACUUGAAAUAUUUAGGAUGGACAUAUAUGAUUUAAUAACCACUAUCGUGGUGGUUAUUUGAACUAACCAGUUAAAAACGAGAUUUAAAAAAUACAGCGACACAACUCAUUAUAGACAAAGAUGAAAUAUCUUGAACUCCGGGUUAUUGAAAGUGGUGGGAGCGUACACUUAUGUUCCCAAGUUGUGUUAUCGUUUGAGUUAAUUUAAAAGAUUAGUGUAAUAGAAACAUACUUAUCGAUAAAACAUCUAAAGUUCAUUGAAUUCUUUACUUACAUAUCGAAGAAAUCAUUAAAUGUGAAGUUUUCCUGCUUAUUGGUAACCAAUUAGGGAUUAACCGAUGAACGAGCGUUUCUAAGAAGGAAGUAGUUUUGUUACAUACUAUGGUUUCCGUGAUGUAUUCAACUUAAAUUGUUGGAAGAACCUGGCUCGGCAUAACACCGAUUGGGUCUGCAUUUGUACCCUCGUGGUGUGAGUAUUGUUUUCUUCAUCUUAUAGCUUAUGUAUGACGAAUCUGAUCGUUGUUCUGCAUACUGACUGGCUAUUACCUGUGUCCAAAGCUACCUUACAUGUGAGGUGGAAGUGUGCCUUGGCAGCUAACAAUUGAUGCUCUCAACCAUAGCCGGUAAUGUGAUUGCCGCUACUAUCCUGUGUUAAAUCCUAGAAGGGCUAAUCCUGCCGGUCCACAUAGAUCGUAUCUCAUCCUUCGCAGGGUACUAGAGUUUGCUCAGUAUUUACCUAUUAAAGAGACAAUGACUCUUAUCCUAAACAGUGCGACCGACUUUGUUUGUCCCUUCUAAUAACUCUCUGUGCCUACUAUAAAGAUUAGUAAAAUGGGCACGAACCUUAUAGAGUGAAUUCAUAUAUCACCUCCAUACUCGACCACAUUAACACUCCAAGUUCUGCUCUUUCUCUGCCUUUCUCCUCUAUAGUAACUGUCUGCAAGAACCAAACCAGGGUGAAAAUGCUCUUUCUACACACCUCUAGAGGCCAUCUUUUUAAUCAGUAUAUUUAGGAUUUCCUACAUAAUAACUACUCGUUAUAUAUUAUAUUAUAUUCUUUCAUACAUAAUAUAUGCGGUUCAACUAUAAUAUGGGUUUAUAAUUCUCCACAUAUUCUGACUAUCGGCGCCUACCGGAUCCGAUAUGAUACUAUUAUACAUACAAUCUUUUUUAUUUUUGUUUCCUUGCAUGGUGAUCAAGAAAAAGUUUCUUUACUGCAUGUUAAUUUUCAGUAAUUUCAUUCUACCUAGCUAAUAUUCUUUUGUUUUGCUGCAUUUCUUGAGUGUAUCUCUAUAAUUUACUAUUUGUUAUAUUUAAUAUAAUUCCUGACACUUGGGUACUCAGUGGCCAUGAGGUGUGCUAUGUAGGACGUAAUAGCAUUCUCUUUAACACAAUAUUUGUACUAUCUUAUCUUCUUAGCACUGAUAUCCAUGGUUCUCAUCUGAAAUUCAAUGAUCUUAGUCAGAGUAAGAUGUUAAUCCGAAAACUUAAAAUAUCACUUCUUACUCACUUUUACAAGUUCACAAUUAAUGAGUAAUAAUAUUACACAUUUUAAAUAGGAACAAUGGCCUUGAAGUUUCACUAAGAAAGGUGUGUCUAUGAUAUACCGCAUCAAAAUUAACAUGUUAAAAUUUUUUAUUAUUUUUCUUUAAGUAUUAAAUUGUUUACUAAUUGUCUAACAAUUAGUAAUUGUCCCGUAUAGAUCACAUUCAAAAAAAAAGAAAAUAAACUAUUAGGAAAUAAUUUUAAGAAGUAGAUCUGAGAAUUGAAAUGGUUGGAUUAUAUAUUUCCAGAAGGCUUCAAUAAUUCAAUAAUAAUCAUGAAAUAUUUUUACAAUAAAUGACACCAAUUAUUGUUAUUGACUAGAAGAAUUACCUAUAUGUACAAAAUGGUAAUUAGUUAUUUGGGGUACGCUCUACAAUUCUCAAAUCCUUAAAUUUUUUUACUAUUGGUAUACACUACUAAUUUCUAUGAUUAUGAAUCCAACCCACUAAGGUUGUAAUUGGUGCAAUGUUUCCAGAACCUUAAUACUCAGAGUUAGUGUAUUCGAUUCUUAUAGAAUCCAAGUUUUUUUUCCUCAUUCAAACCAACUAUGUUAGGGGGUCUCUGAAUACCUCACACACCCUAUAUUGUUUUUUUUUUGUGUAUGCCUUUUCUUAUUUUAAUUGCGUUCUGUGCCCGAGCCAAAUUUGAAAUUUUGGUUGGUCCCAAUCAAUUUUUUUUGGGUAGAUGAAUGAUUAUAUUAAAAGAGAAACCAAAAGAGAAGAAACAGAAGAGCCACAGCACCUAAGCUAAGUCCCAAUCAAUACCUAAUUCCAAAUCCUCACUGCAAAAUGGCGAAGCGAACCAAGUUGGUGAGAGGCCAAGCUUGCUUCGAGAUCCAUCAACCAUUUGAGGAGAGGGAAAAAAAGCAAAGAAUAUAAAAAAGAAGACAGAAUACACACUUGACCAUGACAAAAACCGACCAAUUAACCUUUGAGAGAAACAAGAAGGGGAAGACAACCUCAUUCUUAAAGAAAAAAGAAAAUACGCGCAACAACCCCGAAAUACAACAUGAUGGCAAUGCUUGUGAAACAAAGAAAAAAUCUUAAGACAAUCAUCCCGAAUAAUAUUAAGAGUAGUAUAUUGAAACAUGUAGUUUAUAUCUACCACUUAUUGCUGAAUAGACACAAAUUUUGAAUAGGGUAGCGAUUUUGUGCUGGUAGGUGACCCAAAAGAUUUCCCUUAGACCAUAUAAUGGCAAAUCACGAGAGGACAUAACCGUGCUAACGUGUGUGUAGAGUAUAAAAUGGAGCAUUUAAUCUAAAUCCUUGGUUAGUGACGCGCACAUAUACGUCGGAAUACGGCAAUGUCGUAUUUCUGACACUUACAAUUUAGAUUGCGCUUUCUUGUUGGCCAAAUAGUACUACUGAGACAAAGCUGCUCUGAAGAAGGCUGCAAACUUAAUAUAGAAUAAGCAUAUACACAUCACUGCCUGACUUAACGUAUACUUAAUCCAUUGUGGACCAAGAGUUAUAAUGGAGCAGCCCCAGUGAUAAACUCAUGUCAAUCCAAAAGGGAGGAGGAUCUAUCAUCUCCACUUACUUUUGAUAUGUUUUAUGCACCCAUGAUGACCAUAAAUUGAGUUAAUAGGCGGACUAUAAUUAAACAUGGAUGGUGUACACCCUCAAAGAACAAGCAAAAGUGGAAAUCUGUUGUACAAACUUAUUACCUAUGUCCAUAUUUUCAGGAUGAACAUGAACAUGUAAACGCAAACGAAUGACAUAUGUUCGAGAGGGUCUGAUCCGAAGGAAGGUAGACAGGACACAUCACCCACGAAACAUUCCACUAAGUAGAGGUGUACAUAAACUUGUGUAACUGCGCUCUUAAAAUUUUACUAGCAACGCCAAGAAUGGUAAUGUGUAAGCGAAAUACAGAUCCUUAAGUGUGACAAAUGAGCGUGUUUAUUCCAAUACGCGACAAAUGAGACUAGCUCAAAUGUGAUUCUAGUGUUUUUCUUAUAGAUCGUCUCACUUGAAAAUUAGAAAUUGCCUUAGUUCUAACACUUCCCGUAUAGCCCUUUAUGGAAGGUCUCAUAGUAGCUUCCAUUAUCGAAACGGAAUGAUCCGAGACUAAAUUCUUGAAAAGUAAUAAGAAUCACGCAUUUUAGUUCGUUGGCGUUUCGGAGAAAGAGGGAAACAAAAAUAGAAAAACUCGCCAAUAUUAAUUUCUCAAUUAAAAAAUACCCUAUUAGGGAGAAUUGUGAUAAAAAUAUUUCCUAUGCCUUCCAGCCUGGAACUGCCAAUAUCCAGGGAUUGACUGCGUAUUACUAAUAAUCAUAUACUACAAAUAGACAAUCUUGAUAGUCCAAACAACAGAAUUUAUUUUCUUGGUUGAAAGACGCGCUGGAAAGGUUCUCGUUAUUCUCCCAUUGCGAAAUGUCACAUAGGAGAUGUUAUAUUCUGACAAGGAAGUGUGCAUCCGAAGGUAAAAAGUUGUGGUCAGAAAGUCCGAGUGCAAUUCGUCAUAUACGAGUGCGAAAUGAGGUGGAUGCCUUGCUGUUCUCAACAGGACCCCGGAGAUCCCUCAGUGGGUCUAAUAAAACGAAAGGAGAGAAUGUUAUUGAUUAUGAAUCUCUCCAAAAUCCUCAACGAAAAAACUGGUGAGAGUCAAUUACAGCUAACUAAGCUCUCAAAAUUAAAAACUUGAACUAACGGAGUUACAAUAUAAUGAACAGAUAUGUUCGUGUCCAUUCUAUAUUAUAAGAUUAAACUUCAUAGUGAAAUUGCGUUACAAGCUCAAUUAUAAUAACAUAUGGUAUGCCUUAUGUCAAUAUUACGUAGGCUACAUCAAUCAUCGUGAAUGUUGUGGUAUAUCAUAUUCAAGUCUAACCCCUACUUUCUAGAUAAUGUCUUUCUGGGGAAGUAUAAAAACACUGUCGCUAUAAAUAAAUAAAUUUUAUAUAUGGUGAGCUCUCAACAGCUCUCUACCAACUAAGAAAAGUAAAAGCGUGGAUCUCAUUAAGCACCUUAGUUCGCCUAACAUUAGCUAUUAUAUUGAAUCAAAAUUGUUCAUAACCUUAACUUGGCCCAAAUAUCUUAUAAGAAUAUUACGUGUGUAUUGUUAAUUUAUCCUGACAUUCAUGUGAAUCCAAAGCGAUGAAAUAAUUUACGUUUUAUCCAAACAAAGAAAAGUCAGUGCUAAAUCCGCGACAUCAGAGGACAAUCCGCUCACUAGUAAAGGAAUUUGAUACCAAUUUAGCAAGAGGAGGCUCUUCUAAUUCAAAUUUACUUUCGGUAAAAUAAAUGAAAAUGUCAUAUAAAAGUGUGGAGAAAGUAUAUAGCGACGACAAAAACCAUACGAUCAUCCAUGCAUACCGUGUUCAUGACAUUAAGCGCUCCUGCAGUGUGGUUUGUCGGAAUGUUUCUAAUGAUACACAAUAUUGAAAUUACAACCCUGUCUCAAACUUCAAACACAUUUUCCUAAAAGUCAUCACAUUUUCUCCCCUCUUGUUGUGUAUCUGCUUCAGGCAAUAUGUAUACCCUGUUCUUUAUGAACAGCCAGUGAACGGCCUGUCAUGAUUAACAACCUCCCAUUGUACACAUAUAACUAUUCUGUCGCCCAACUCAGUGAGCAACUCAGCCUUCAAAGACCUGUAAUAACCUGAACCUAAACAUAAAGUUGUAUACGCUCAUAACCUACACACACGUAAAAGUAAAUCAAAACUUCUUAAUAACCGAAAGCGCCUACCGCUUUUCAUUAUUAUCUGGAUUCCUUAAUCUAAUCCUAUUCUGUUGAAGAAACUCCAACGAUUACUCAUCUUCGACCACACUUGACAUGCGAAUAUGUAAUUUGGUUAUGCGAUAUGUUAACAAAACCUAAAAUAUUAGCCUCACUAAUCGCACGUCUUACAACUGCAAGUGCACCAAGGAUCAAACAAUAGGUAAUACGAAAGCCAAGUACGAAGAUCUAUUCCAGUUCGAAGCGAUUAUCGUUGACGUUUAAUCAACUCUUAAUAAGUAUUUUCAAUAGUAAGGCUCUUAUGCAAUUUUCUUAACAGAGUGUGUGACAUAUCUCAUCUCUCCUAGCGCCAUCUAAUAUAAACAUAACUAUAAAAUACUAAGAGUGCGUUAUUACUAUGUCACAGUAAAGGUGAUAUGUUUAAACGGAGAGUAGAGUGUUUAAGAAUCAUUUUAUUGAGAUGUCUUCAAAAUGACUUGUGUUUUAUAGAAGUCAGAGAAUAACAAGAAUCAACAAUUAAAUUAUAAGAAUGUUAGAGCAAAUAAAAGUAAUUGGCAAUAAGGGUUUUUAAAAUAAUGUUGAAUGUUAGGACUUGUAUCCAUUCUCUAACCUUUUUCGCCUAAAUCAACUGAUACACACGAUGAUAACAAAACAGAUUUCUUGAUGCUUACGUUUUGUCAACCUAAAGGCAUAGGUAUCUACUCCUUAAGCUAUUGAUUUCCCUAAACAACGAAUUAGGCAUGGGUUGUCUACACUAAACUCUUUUCAUUUCUGAAGUAAUUUAGCAUGGUAUCUACUAAGUUGCACCCGAGGAAGCAUAAUAACAAUGGAAAAUCGACAAACCACAUGAAUCCCAGAACCAAUGCGAUAAUCUAUUACGGAUUAUCCGUGAUAAUGAAAUUCCAAAGAACCGUAACUAGUUCUUUUGUUACCUUGGAUUAGGUACAAGACUCGAUCAUCCAAAAUUUACCCAUGUAACAAAAAAUCGGAACAUUACAAAGGCAUUAUUAAUUAGAGUGGAUGAAAGAAUGCAUAUUCAUAAAAGAAAAUAACUCAAAAAAUAAUUGAUAUAAGAGUAAUUGAAAAUCACAGAAUGAGAUAAUGGUGGUAGCUGAAAAAUCAUACUUAUUUACAGGUCUUAUUCAAUCUUCCACUGCUAUUUGGGUCUGUAGUUAUCAACCCCAAAAAUGUUGGAUCGAAAAAAUACUAACGGCAAACAUGAUUGAGUAACUUCCAAAAUCAUAGCCGGCGAACCUUAUGAAAUUUUAGUACUCAAUAAUGUUAGGAUACCUGAGGCAGACAAAGACAAGACAAAAUAAAUAGAUAAGAUAAAACGCGUAGAAGAAAGAAACAACUCUUCAAUGGAUUAGAAUAUGCACAGAAUUAAUGGGAGCCCUGGUCCUUAUCCUCUUUCAAUACAUACCUUACUUGUCAGUGUCCGUCCUUACCCUUUGGUGGCUACUGUUAUAUUUUAUUACUCUAAAAUUGUUUUAUUAGCUCGCGAUAUGUCGUGUCAUGAUUUACUCUGUCCUGAUUCGUGUCUUGCGCAAGUUGUGUAAUUGGAGGGUAUGAAAAUGAAUCUUCGCCCCUUGUGCGAUUUGUUUAGAAAUAGCCAACAAGGCGUGAAUAGCCUUCUUUUCUCAUUAUAUAUCUAAUUUCAAUGAGCUAUGUUAGAAGUUUGAUUUAAUUUCGAUUAUUAGUGUCUUCUUUAAUUUAGUUUUCGCUUAACAGAUCUUCUCAUUAUGGUUCUUCUUACCUGCAACUUGGUUAAUAAAACUCAAUAAUUUAAGAGCUCAGUGGAAUUUUUUUAUCUUUAUCAUAUUUUAUUAAUUGCCACAUGUCUACCUCAUCGUUGUGUUAGUAACACACAUUCUGUUAGUGUUCUGUACCUCGCGUCGCUUAGUACCUUAUCAGAUUUUCUAUAUGUUACUAAAACUGCACAUAACUCCCUACUUAGAGUAAGAUUAUGUGUAUUUACAGGAAGCCGUUAAAGUUUCUUAAUAAAUGAAGCGACAUUACCGAUUGGUCUUUCCAAAAUAUAAUGGAUGGUACAUCUCCGUGCUUUUAAAUUCACCAGAAGUCGAAGUCAUCAAUUUUAAUCCUUACGAAAACUCAACGCAUUAUUGGUCUCUUGCAGCACAUAACGGUGUAUGCAAAAGCAAAUAACUACCGAGUUCGUGUGCUUGAGUGAGUAUAACAAUACGUGAUUGUUGUAUAUGAUAUCGGGAAAAGGACAGAACCCUAGUGAGUAUAUAGUUACCCAUCAUCUUAUUUUUGGUGAAACGACUCUUUUGCUUGUUACCACCCCUGACAAAACACAAAUUGUCUAUUUUAUGAAGUAAUUGUUAAAUGUUAAAUCUAUUUACAGAAAGCAGUCACUGGAAAAGUCACCAGAAAAGGUGGGUAAACAACGGAAAGAAGAAUGUAUAUAAAUAAUAUAAAAUAGCGACAUUUGACGCAGCCAUACACACAAUAGAUUCAGUGCACACAAUACUUUCAUUUAUAGUGUCAACCAAAUGCCCGCAACCAUUUUAAAUGUGGAAAUCUUUGAUAUAUGGGGUAUGGAUUUCAUGGAACCCUUUUUGCCCUCAUAUGGUUUUACUUAUAUUUUGCUAACCGUUGAUUAUGUGUCAAAAUGGGUGGAAGCCAAAGCCACCCGUACUAACGAUUCUAGAGUGGUGGCAGAUUUUAUCAAGGCUAACAUCUUUUCCAGAUUUGACAUGCCGAGGGUGUUCAUAACCGAUGGAGGCUCCCACUUUUGCAAUCACACCAUGAGGCGCUGUUUAAAAAGUACAAUGCGAAGCAUCUGGUUUCCACGCCAUACCACCCUCAAACAAGUGGCCAAACUGAAGUCUCGAAUAGAGAAAUCAAGCAAAUCUUAGAGAAGACUGUUAGGCCAAACCAGAAGGAUUGGAGCUUGCGUUUAGAUGAUGCACUGUGGGCAUAUCGCACUGCCUACAAAACACCUCUAGGGAUGUCUCCAUUUCAACUAAUCUACGACAAGCCGUGUCACCUACCUAUGGAAUUGGAGCACAAAGCGCAUUGGGCUGUGAAAACAUUCAAUUUGGACUUAGAUGCUGCUGGAAUGAAUAGGAAGCUCCAACUGAAUAAACUUGAGGAGAUACGGAACGAAGCCUAUGAGAAUGCACGAAUUUACAAGGAGAAAACAAAGGCGUUUCAUGACAAAAUGAUUCGGGGAAAAACAUUCUCAAUUGGACAGAAAGUGCUACUAUUCAAUUCCCGUCUACGAUUGUUCCCUGGUAAGUUACGGUCUAAGUGGAUUAGGCCAUUUGUUGUCACUAAUGUUUUUCCCCAUGGUGCAGUCCAAGUUAAAAGCUUAAGGAACGGCGACGAAUUCAAAGUGAACGGGCAUCGUCUGAAGUUAUACUAUGAGAGAGUUGUGGGGCAGAUUGUGGAAGAAAUCCCACUUAGUGCCGUGGGCCCUAUCCAAGCUUAGAAGGAAGUUUCGUCCGGCUACAAGACGUUAAAGCAAACGCUUCUUAGGAGGCAACCCAUGUUUUGCAUUCCUAAAAACCUUCCCUUUUCUGCAGUUUUAUUUUGCCAUGAUUGUCAUUUUUAUUUGUUGCUUGUUUAAUUGUUUUUGGUAUGGGUUUAUUUUUGAAACAUUGACAGAUAUGCAAGGUAUUUUUACAUUAAAAUUCGUUGAAAAUGAACAGAAGGCAGAAAAAUACAAAAGAGAGCCUUCCCAAAGGCUGCUUAGGAGAAGUCUCAGUAGUCGGCGAAGCCUCAGAGGUCGGCAGAGCCCCAGCAGUCGGCGGAGCCCCAGAAGAAGGAGGUAUCGAAGGUUGAUCAAUUGGAGCUUCAUUACGUGGUACAGCUCAGAAGGCGAAGGCAAAUGCUGUUGGAACAAACCCACAAACCUCUGAUGAUCAAGUAAAAUCUGACCAUCAGAUUCCUGCAUCUGGUCAAUCUUCCUCUUCAUGUUUGUAGCAUCGUUAUGUGCAAGCCUGUGUAACUGUUUAUUCUCAUGCUUGAGCCCUCUAAUCUCUUGUUUGAGACUCAUCACUUCAGCCGCCAAUGAUUCAACUUGACGGGUUCGAGCAAAUAGACGUUGGGCCAUAUUAGACACAAAACCUGCACACUGCACACUGAGAGCCAGAGAAUCCUUAACAGCCAACUCAUCAGACCGUUUGGAAAGUAGUCUGUUAUCUUUGUGAGUGACAAGGUUCCGGGCCACCACCACAGCAGUCAUAUCAUUCUUCAUCACCAAAUCCCCUACGGUAAGAAAACCAAUAGGGAAUAUGAAGGAUGGGCACCAUAUGUUGUCUGGAGAAGGCAUGGAUGCCUCUUCACCAAGGUUCAAGUCAAAACGACGGUUGGAGGGGCCAGACAUUUUCGAAGGUGUUGAAGAAAGAAGAGGUCGGACAAAUCGAGAUCUUAGAAGUGCAAUGAAGGGAAUUUCUACAGGCAACAAUUCAAGUGUGCUUUGAAACGAACUACGUGCUUCUAUAAAAAUUAGCACUCGACGGGAUUUCAGAGAUCGAAGAGGCGAGCUUCGAAAUCGAAGAGGCGCUAGCUUUCUCAAAAGCUGAGCUUGCUCAGAAACCACGGGUCAUCCUCUUUUCCAAAUUUGUCCGCACUUGUCACAUGCAACCUCUGCACUUGACGGAGCUCAGAAAUCGAAGAGGCAAGCUUAGAAAUCGAAGAGGCAUCUGCUUUUCCAGACAUGUCAGCACCUAUCAUAUGCACACUCAGCCUUGUGGAAAUUACGAGCAAUCUGUCGAAGAUUUCUGGUGACGUAGAAAGCACGUGAAGUUUACUGUUCAAUUAUCCAACGGUUGCCGACAAGAGUGAAAUAAUGGUACCGGUUAUUAAUUUAUAUAAAUGUCGACCUUCACCCUCAAUUGCAAGGUAGACAUACAUAACCCUUCUUUAUCUCCGAGAAUGCCUUCCCAACAAAGCCUCUCGAGUCACUCAGUGUUCCUUAUUCCCUGGGAUACCUCUGCAAACAACCCAUCAAAAGCAAAAGUAUUUCAUAUCAUGAAGGUUGAAAGCAAGAGUAUCUCAUAUCAUGCUUUCUCCCUGUUCUUCUCAUUGUCGUUGUUUUCACCUGCGAGACAAGGAGAAAGAAAGCAAUCAGCAAACACUUGGUAUCAAUCUUUCGAUUUGGAACCGACUGCCUGGAACCCCUUCCUGAUUGCUUACCUAGCCUUGCUCUCGAGUACUCAUUUUUCAACAUCUUAUGCUUCCUCAAAAGCUAUCACAUCUGCCUGGACAACAGAUAAGGGAAGUGAAAAUGAUACCUCGAAGCAUGUGGAGACAAUGUGCUAAUUCAUCCUCCGCUAGGGACAAGGAGAAAGAAAGCAACUGGUCAGCACUUGGAAAGAUUGAAAAAGGAAACAGACCAUCACCUCUACCUCGUGCCUGCCUGCCGUGCAGAAGAAACAAGCAGAGAAGAAUGCAGACUGCACAAUCAAAUCAACCCAGUAGAAGGAGUCUGAUUUGAAACCAAGGAACUCUCAUAUUCCUCGCUUAGAAUUCCAAACCAGUUCGAGAUCAAAGUUGUGGAAAGUCAACUAAAUCAUCUAUCUCCAAAACGAGAUUUGCAUUCUUAAACUCUACUUUGUCUGUUUUUUACUUUGCCACACUUGUCAUGUUUAUUCGUUGUUUGUUUGUUUGCUUGUUUUUGUGUGAGUUUAUGCUUGAAACAUUGAGGACAAUGUUUGAUUUAAGUGUUGGGGGGGGGGGGGUAACCAAGUUGUUUUGCAUGAAAUUCGUAGAAGUUUAUCACUCAUUACUUCUAGUGUUGUUCCUUGCUGUUUUUAAGUGUUUUUAAGCUGUUUUGGAGUGUUUUAGUGUGUUUUGACAUAAAAAUUUGAAAAAUUGUUUUGAAAAACCUAAAAAAAGUUGUUUUUGUGUGUUUAUUUGUGUCUUAGGGUACCUUCCAAUACAAUGAUGAGGAUUUGGUUUUUAAUUACAUGACUGUUAAAGAGAGUUAUAAACAUGGAUGAAAAUUUGAUUUACUCUUUGGUGUAUGCUUGGUUGUGGUUAUAAUUUAUGAAUUCACAUGCAAUCAUAAAGGAAAAAUUAGUUUUUGUAACAUGCUUAAAGGAAGGAACUCAAAUGAACGCUACAACCUUGUGAGACUUGAACCUAAACGUUUAUUUGGAGAGUUAAUAAUAUGUGCAUCAUUGUUUUCUAAAGUCGAUGCAUGAUCUCAUUAUUCUUUGCUUGGUUGCUACUUAGAAGGCGUUUCUCAUUAUGUGACUUAGUUAGCUUGUUCUUGUGCAUUUAUGUUGUUACUUCUUAGUUGAUUUAGUAUUUCAAGCCAUUUUUGUGUGGUUGUAGGUACAAAGGGUUAAAGAGGCAAAAAAGUGCAUUUUGGUGCCUUUUGGAGCAGUUUUGGGCAUAUAAUGGAUAUCACAUGCAUGGAGCAAAGUGGUUGGACGAAAUUAAAGAUCUAAAGAAGCUAGGAAUGUGCCAAGGAAAGGAAGAAAAUAAAUUGAGGACCAAGGAAGACAAGGAAACCAUUAAGAAUGAGGAAAGACUAGUCAAACUUGCCUUAUCUUGUCAUUACUUUCCUAAUCCUAAAUUACCAAAGAUUUAGUCACACGAAGGGUUCCUAAAUACUUUGGGACAUUUCAUUACAUAUUCUACAAGUCCUAAACCUGCCCUAAAAGUCUAAGCCAUACCAUCUUUCACCAUUUCUCUUCCUUGCCGUGCAAGGGAGCCAUUCAUUUCCUAUUUUCUGCCAUAAAUCACUCCAUGCUGUGCACAUUCAUCCAUGUUCCCUCCUUGCACUCAUUUCUUGCACCAUUCCACUUCUUUUCCUUUGUCUACCAUGUGCACAAUAUCCUUUCACCUCCUUGCACUCAUUGAUUCACCACUUAUUCACCUUUCCACCCAUGCCAUGCAUAAUCACCCAUGUCUCCUUCAUGCACCAGAUUUCUUGCACUCAUUUCAUGCACCAUUACACUCAUUAUCCACCCAUGCUGUGCACCACCCUUGUCUCCUUCAUUAUUUCUGAUUUCAUGCAUCAAAACAUUGAAUCAUUGCACUCAAUUGCUACACAUUUCUUGUCCCCUUCACCCAUCAGAUUUCAUACAACUUUUACCUCCACCACAUGCACUCAUUGAUGCACCAUCCACCACAUUUGGAAUCACAUGCUGUUCCUCAUGAGUCUUGCUGUACCUUUGACUUAUUUCUGCACCAUUCCACCUCCAUUUCCUUUCUCUACAAUGUGCACAAUCAUUCAUGUUCCCCACUUGCAUUCAUGGCUACAAAACCACUCCAUUUUACCCCCUAUGCUUUGCAUCAUCACUUCAUUUUCACCUUUGAAUCAUUUCAACACCACUCCAUGCACUCAUUGCUGCAACACCACUCCAUUUUACCCUCAUGCUUUGCAUCAUUACUUCAUUUUCACCCUUGAAUCAUUGCACACACCACCAUUUUUCCCCUCAUUACCGUGCACUUCCUCUAUAAAAGGAAGUGUGUGUGGCAGCCAUAAAGUUUAGUUUUUGCUUGAUCAUUCAUCCCCAUUUCAAUACAACCUUCAUCCAAACACAUCCAUUCAUCUUUACAUCCAUACAAACAAACCUUCAAACACUCACCAACACCUUGUGCCGUAGCAAAGAAAGGGAAGGAAAGUGCUUGGACGUGCUUGCUGUCCAACUUGGAUUGUUGGAGCGUUUAGGUGUUUUCUUUCUUUUGUUUCCAAUGUUUAAAUUCAUUUUCUUUCAUUUUGUUGUGAAUAUAAGUGGCUAAACCCCUCUUAGCUAGGGGUGAUUUCAAAGCCAUGAUUAUGUGUGUAAUAUGAUUUGAUACAUUCCAGUUAUGAACUCUUGAAUCGUGAAUGCAAUUGGCUUAACUAUUUGAUUGAUAACUUAUUUGUAUUUGUUGAUUAAGGGUCGACACUUAAUUGGCAUGCAUAAAUCCGAUGCUAGAAUAUAAGAAAGUUUCACAUAGUCGUUACAAACCUAUAUUCAUAAGUAGUGGAGGUCGCUUAUAAAUGAUCGCGUUAAGUUUAAUUCUAGCAUGAGUGACAUGAUGUCAUAGUUGCAAGUGCUUUAUCAAUGCUUAUGAUUUUCAUUAAACGUAAUGAUCUUUGAUUGUAUCUCUAUUAUGAUGUCAUGUAGGGAACGUUUGAAGAAUGUUUUGGGUUGUCGAGUGAUGUCAUCCAAUCCAAUAAAACAAGGAAAAUCUGAGGGUUAACUAGUGAUGUCACAGUUAAUUUGGAGCAUUGUCGUUCAUAAUUCAAUAAAGUAGUAAUUGGAAAUCGAAUUAUUUGCAUACAUAUCAUGUGUGGAGAGAAAGCCUCUAGCUAUCCCAUCCAUCACCUUAUUUCUCACAUUUGUUUUACAAUCUGUCUAGAUUUUCAUACUUGUUUGUUUGUUACAACUUCAUCCAAAUCAAAACCCCCCUUUUAGUUCUUGUUUCAAAGUGUUUCAAAUCUAUUUUAGUUGUGUUUUUAAGUGUUUUGAUUGAAGUAAAAGUCCAUUUUCGUCCAAAGUCAUUCCUAGUGUCUAGUUUAAGUUUAUUUGGUUGUUUUGAGCUGUUUUGAGUAUUUUAAGUUUGCUUUGAGUCUUGUGGAUCUUGUUAAGUAUUUUUAAGUUUAGUUUUAUGUUUUUGAGUUAGUUUAGAGGUUAUUAGCAAGCCCUCCUAAUCCCCGGUCCAAAACGAUCCCUACUUAUACUUAUACUACAAUUGUCAAAAAAUGGUUAAAUUUGUGUGUUAAGUUAAUUUUCGCAUCAACGGGUAACAUUAGUGAGCUUGUUGAAUGAAAUACUUUUUGGACAAUAUCUAAAGGGAAGUGAUUUCACACCUUUUUGGCUUCUUACGCGCCAAUAUGUAUUUCUAACUAUUGGAUUGAAUAAAUCACACAUAAUCAAUGGUCAUGAUUAAACAAAGGUAUGUAGGAGCCUAAAGCAGGUAUGUGUUUGUCAUGUCCUAUUCAAAAUCUGUUGUCUCUCAGGUCGAAGAAAUCCAGAAAUUGAUCUAUGAGCUGCACUACGAGGGAUGCGAGAUCAAUGAGCACUUCCAAGUUGGGGCGAUAAUUGAAAAAUUGCCAACUUCGAGGAAUGACUUCAAAAUUUAUCUUAAAAACAAGCGUCGAGAUGAAUAUGGAGGAUUUGAUCUUGAGGCUACGAGUAGAAGAAGACCGCAGAAAGGCAGACCAUUUUGGAGGGUUUGCUGCCAUUGAAGCCAAUGCAAAUUAUGUUGAGGAAGGAAACUCCAAGGCCAAGCCGAAGAAGAAUAAGGCUCUUAAAACCAAGCAGUUUGUACAAUCUGCCCUUGCUCCCAAAGGCAAUAAUCUGAAGAAGAUUAAGGGCGCAUGCUAUGUGUGUGGCAAAUAUGGUCACAAGGCACAAGAUUGUUAUCAUCGUAAGGAUGGAAAUCAUGCCAACGGAAACAACAACAACCAUGCUAACAUGGCAACCACCAAGGAAGAAUUGGCUGCUAUUGUGUCCGAAGUCAACAUGGUCUCAAAUGUGAGUGAAUGGUUAUUGGAUACUAGUGCUACUAAGCACAUAUGCGCUGACAGAAAUCUAUUCACUGAAUACCAUCCUGCUGCCUAUGGAGAAAAGCUGUAUAUCGGUAAUUCUGCCUUUACUGCGGUGGAGGGCAAAGGCAAAGUGGUACUCAAAUUCACAUCUAGAAAGAGUCUCACCUUGAUGAAUGUGCUGCAUGUUCCUGAAAUAAGGAGGAACUUGGUUUCUGGACCUAUUCUGAUUGCUAAAGGCUUUAAACUUGUAAUGGAAUCCAACAAAUUUGUACUUACCAAGGGUGGGAUGUUUGUUGGAAAGGGUUAUGUGGCUGAUGGCCUUAUGAAACUCAAUGUAAUUGCUAUUGAUGAUGCUAAUAAAAUAAAUGCUUGUACUUAUAUUGUUGAGUCUUCUAAUAUUUGGCAUGCUAGAUUAGGACAUGUUAAUUUUCGUUCCAUGCAUAGAAUGGUUAAAUUAGAAUUAUUACCUAAAUUCCAAAUUGAUUUUAAUAAGUGUGAAACAUGUACUAAAUCGAAAUUUGCUAGGCAAAUGAGAAAGUCAAUUCCAGAAAGAUCAAAUGAAUUACUUGGAUUAAUUCAUAGUGAUCUUUGUGACUUUAAAUCCACACCAACUCAUGGAGGAAAGAAUUAUUAUGUCACUUUUAUUGAUGAUUGCAGUAAGUAUUGCUAUAUUUAUUUGAUUCAUAGCAAGGACAAAGCUUUGAAUAUGUUUAAGACAUAUAAAGCCGAAGUUGAAAAUCAACUUGAGAGAAAAAUCAAAGCACUUAGAUCCGAUAGAGGAGGAGAGUAUGAGUCUACUACCUUCUCAGAUUUUUGUGCACAACAUGGAAUUAUACAUCAAACAACGGCUCCAUACACACCACAACAAAAUGGUGUUGCCAAAAGAAAAAAAAUAGAACAUUCAAAGAUAUGAUUAUUUUCAUGUUAUAUAGUUCAGGGCUUCCACACCGUUUGUGGGGUGAAGCUUUACUUACUGCAAAUACCAUAUUGAAUAAGGUUCCUCUAAAAAAGAUUGACGAGUCACCAUAUGAACUAUGGAAAGGACAUAGACCCACUUAUAAAACCCUCAAAGUGUGGGGUUGCUUAGCAAAGGUGCAAGUUCCGUUACCAAAAAGAACGAAGCUAGGAUCUAAAACUAUUGAUUGUGUAUUCAUUGGAUAUGCAAAUAAUAGUGCUGCUUAUAGGUUCCUUGUUGUAAAAUCUUCGAUUUCUGACAUACAUGUCAACACUAUAUUAGAAUCAGUGGAUGCAUAAUUCUUUGAGGAUAUAUUUCCUUACAAAGAAAAUGAAUCUGGUUAUAAUACAAAGAGGGUUCAUGAUCAUAGUCAUGAUGAAGCCUCUUCUUCUGGUGUCCAAGGAAAUGAUGUGGAACCAAGAAGAGGAAAAAGAAUCAAAGUUUCUAAAAACUCUGGACCAGAUUUCAUUGCUUUCUUGUCCGAGAAUGAACCUAGAACUUUUAAAGAAGUAAUGUCUUCUUCUGAGGCUCCUUUAUGGAAGGAAGCAAUUAAAAGUGAAAUGGAAUCCAUUAUGGAAAAUAACACAUGGGAAUUGGUUGAUUUACCUCCCGGUAGUAAACCAAUUGGUCAUAAACGAAUUUUCAAGAAGAAACUUAAGGCAGAUGGAACCGUUGAUAAGUUCAAGGCACAUUUAGUAGCCAAAGGUUAUCGCCAAAAAGAAGGUUGGAUUAUUUCGACACCUAUUCUCCAUUUUCUCGCAUAACGUCAAUUUGGACGUUAAUAGCGAUUGCAGCUGUAUACAACUUUGAUAUACAUCAAAUGGAUGUAAAAACAACAUUUUUAAAUGGAGAACUAGAUGAAGAAAUAUACAUGGAACACCUUGAAGGGUUUGUGCAUAAAGGACAAGAAAGCAAAGUGUGCAAAUUAGUUAAGUCAUUAUAUGGAGGGCACGAGAAAUUUGAUCAUACUUUGUUGACACAUGGGUUCAAAAUAAAUGAAUCUGAUAAAUGUGUCUACAUUAAAAGUAAUGAUAAAACUUGUGUUAUUGUCUGCUUGCAUGUGGAUGAUAUGCUCAUAAUGGGAAGCAAUAAAGAUGUAAUAAACAAAACAAAGAAAAUGUUGAAUUCAAGUUUUGACAUGAAAGACUUAGGUCAAGCGGAUGUCAUUUUAGGAAUUGAAAUUAAGAGAAAUAGUGAAGGAUAUGUCCUUACACAAUCCCAUUAUGCAGAAAAAAUAAUACGAAGGUUUGGUCAAUUUGACUAUAAACCUGCUGUAACUCCUUUUGAUGCUGGAUGCAAGUUGAAGAAAAAUAAAGGCGAUGCCAUAUCUCAACUUGAAUAUUCUCAAGUAAUUGGAAGUCUAAUGUACUUAAUGAAUUCAACUAGGCCCGACUUAGCUUAUGCAGUAAGUAGGCUUAAUAGAUAUACAAGUAAUCCGGCACAAGAGCAUUGGAAUGCUUUAGUAAGAGUGUUAAGGUAUUUGAAAAAUACACUUGACUACGUAUUAUACUACACAAAGUAUCCACCUGUUAUAGAAGGCUUCAGUGAUGCCAAUUGGAUUUCUGACACUACAGAAUCCAAAUCGACAAGUGGAUAUGUUUUUACCUUGGGAGGUGCAGCAAUAUCUUGAAAAUCCUCUAAACAGAAAUGUAUAGCUCGGUCCACCAUGGAGUCCGAGUUUAUAGCUUUAGACUUGGAUGGCGAAGAAGUCGAGUGGCUCAAAAAAUUUCUGGAGGAUAUUCCCAUGUGGCCAAAGCCGAUAAUUGCUAUAUGUAUACAUUGUGAUAGUAUGGCCGCACAAGCAAGGGCCAAAAGUCAUGUAUACAAUGGGAAGUCACAUCACAUCAGGCGUCGACAUAAUACUCUUAAGAAGUUGCUCUCCAAUGCAAUAAUAUCCAUUAAUUAUGUGAAGUUAAAGGACAAUAUAGCUGAUCCUUUGACAAAAGGCCUACCAAGAGAGCAAAUAUUAUUUACAUCGAGGGGAAUGGGUCUCAAGCCAAUUCAAUGAAUCGAACUGGGCAGACACCUAACCUAGCUGAUUGGUGAUCCCAUGGUCAAGGUUCAAUAGGCAAAGUGGUUGAGUUUGAUUCAAAGUUGAACACACAACUUACCCAUUCUUAUGAUAAAAUGUGUGUUGUCUGUUGACGUUUGAGGGAUAUAUUUAAUGACAUUAAUAUCUUGUUAUCAAGAGGAAUAUGGUAGACUAUUCUUAAUUAAUGUCACCUAUAUAGGAGUAAAUGGGGCCGCAUUUAUGAGAAUUGACAUGGCUAAAUUCUCUAAAGCUCCUAUGAAAUCUGGGAUCUGUUCAGGGCCAAAAUGAACACAACCGUAUGAAUUAAGGUGUGGCAAACAUGAUAUGUGUGUAGCAUAUUGUCUCGGUUUAUUACUACGGUGAACAGUUCAAGAUCUUUUACAUCCAAUGCAUCACCAAGUAAACCCGAUAUGUUUUCACUAGGGUAAGUUCAAGUCCAAAAGACACUUCACUCGAUGCAUAUCAUGUCUAUUAUCUCUCAGUUUUAAGCAACCUAGUCAUCCAUUUGCAUUUACAUUUGCAUUCAAAUGUGGGUUAAUUGUUGGAGUUUGAAUGAAAUUUCAACUCAAAUGUGGGGUAUUGUUGGAAAUUUGAGUAGUUUAAGUAGAAAUUUCUUUGUCCCACAUUGGCCAUUCCCAAAAGAUUUUAUCACUUUAUAAGGCUUUGUCCUUUAUAGAAAGUGAUUGGAGUAAUAGGCCUGGAGAAUAAAAUUGGGCUCACCCUUGGGGUUGGGCUUUGGGGUGCACUAAUUAAUUGGUAAUUAAUUAUAAUUAAUAUAUAAUUAAUUAUCAAAAGAUGAGCCUUGGGCCUCUUGGGCUUGGGCUCUAAUAAUUAAAUUAUUUAAUUAAUUAUUUUCGGAUUCAAUUAAUUAUUUUUAAUUAAUUUCGAAUUUAAUUAUUUAAUUAUUUUUUACCAACAGACUCAUCAUUUUAGAUGAAGUCUGAAGGGUUCAGAAAGAACACAGAGUAAAGCGCCCAUUUGGAGAAGAUGUCUCCCAACAGACACAUCCCAUUCUCAUACCUGUUGCAAACAGGCAUCCUUCUAUUAUAUAUACAUCCUUCUGCAUGGCAUUUAGGACACAUAAAAUCAAUAUUCUUCUUCUAAAAUCACAAACAUCCUUUAUGAGAGAACCACACAGAAAUUCGCCAGAAGUUAAGUUUUCCAGUGCUAGAAUUCUAACUUGAUUGUUGAAUCCUAGUGAAGCGAACGUCCGUAGAACUACAAGCACUGAGUAGGGACGAAAUUUUUGUUUCAAGGACAUUGCGGUACGCAAGCCUCGAUCUUCAAUUUUUCUGUUUAAAUUUAUUUCGUUGUUCAUACUCUGUUCAAUAAUUUUUAUAUUCGCAUUUAUUGUUUAUUAGCAUAUAUAUAAUUAAAUCACAGAUUAUUGAUAUAUAUCCAACACGUUUUACCGAGAUAACCUCGAGGAUGAUGAAUUGUGCAAGUGUAAGAUUAGGAAUACAACUUACAUUGUACUUGUUGCCCUAUAGAAGCGAUUAACGACUAACAUGGGCCAAAGGGGUUCCUUAUUCUAUAUGCACUUGAUUAAUGUUAAAGAAGAUUUCAGUAUUGAAGGCAAUGUUAUUUUAAGUAAUGUGAGUAUACAGUACUAAUUAACCUAAUAUGGAAAAGUAGAAAAUAGAAGUGAAUUUUUUUAGAUAAUGAUAAUGGGUAGAGAGAAUAAAUUGGUGGUAUACUUGACAUUUUUGAUAUUUAAAUCCAAGACCUCUCACCAGUUAACUGAAAUAUGCACCAGAAGUGAAUUCACUGCCUUACAGAAGAACAUAUUUAUGUAAAAGGAGAGAUGCCAUGCAUUUCACAUAAGAUGCAUCAGUAUACUCCAUUUAAUUAUAGCUUUAACCUUUUCCUUGAGUAGACUCUUCCAUAACAUUUUGGAUUAGAUAUGACAUGUUUGAGUGAGAUGAUCCUCCUUCUUCCAUAGCCCUUCUACUCAUCUCACCAAUUUCUCUUGCUCUCGUUCUUCGCUUUUUUCCUUCUUCGCUCUCAUCCAUCAGCGAUUCUAUUGCCUGCUUCACUCCUCCUUUCUUCACCAACACCCCAACUUUCUCUUCAUCCCCCCACCUAACCGGGACUUCUACACCAACCCGAACCCCGAUCCUCAAAACUUCUACAAUCAUUUUUUCGUUGAAGAACUGCUCGGCAAACAGAGGCCAUGUAAUCAUUGGUACACCGGAACAUGCCCCUUCUAUCGUUGAGUUCCAACCACAGUGAGUUAAGAAUCCUCCAAUUGCAGGAUUGGAGAGUAUAAGAACUUGUGGAGCCCAACCCUUGAUCAGAAGACCUCUCCCUUUGAUCCUUUCCUCAAAUCUUUCCUCCACUAACCACUUCUCUAAUUCUAAAUACUUCUCACUUGUUUUGACUACCCAAAUAAAUGGCCACCCUGAUGCUUCUAAACCAAGUGCAAGCUCAAUCAGUUGUGUUGGAACUAGUCUGCAAAGGCUACCGAGACACGCGUAGAUAACCGACCUUGGUUUCAUUGAUUCGAGCCAUUCCAAGCAUUGCCUCUGAUCAAUUAAGGGUUUGUUGCCUCUAGAAAACCUGUCCAGAUUGCUCUUGUUGCACAAGGAAACCGGCCCGAUGCACCAAAGUUUUUUUCCAAGCACCUUGCUCAACUCUUCAGCACACCCAUGCUCCAGUUCAUCACAGCUAUUCACUACAACCCCAUAGGAUGUUAAUUCUGCUUCUUGUAUCUUGUCCCGAAAAUCAUUUAAAUCGGGCAGGGUAACAAAUUCUCCGGGCAGCUGAGCCUUAGUGAUCUCAAUCCUCUGGGGCAGCCCUGGUACCACAAAAGGUUCAGAGUCAGAGGUGACAGAAUUGUGAGCAUUGCAGGCUUUCACAUUGUGAGAGCUCAACAGUGAGAAGCAGCACAUCCCAUGGAAAACAAUCCUCGGAACAUUGAACUUCUGAGCUGUUUUCGAAGUCCACGAUAGGGCCUUGUCCGAGAUUAUGCAGCUGGGGUGAAGAUUAUGCUCGCGAAGGUAGUUUUCAACCGGUUCUUGUAGCAAACUUAGAGCCUUGUAGAAUUUUCUGAGCAGGUCUCUUGAGGGUAAAGUGUCAAGAUUCUCACACCCGAUUGGAAGUCCGACUGCUUGGCAUGGAAAUGGGAUUUCCACAAGGACAAUUGGAAGUUCAGAUUCUCUUGCUCUGGAAAUCGUGGUGUCGAAUCGCGAGGCAUUGUUUGGAGUAGUGACCAAGCUAACCAUUACCCCACGCUCUGCAAUAAGCCUAGCCAUGUCUACCAUGGGGAUCAUAUGGCCUUGUGCCAUGAGAGGGAUUAAGACAAAGUGAGGCUGCUUUUGCCUUGCUAGGGAAGCCAUAGUAGAGAAAAGAAAAUAUCGGUUUGCAGCUCUUAUCAGCUACCAAGAUUAAACAUAUAGAUGAUACAUUUGUAUUUCAAACGCUGGUUCAAUAUUUUGCAAAAUGUCUCCCAAUGUGAACUUGACUUUGAAUAAUUAUUAUACUAAGAUGUCAUAUCAUUUGUAGUCAAAUGCAAAAAGAAAACAAAUUAUGGGUUGAAUGAGUCAUAGUCACAGGCAAUUUCAUUACCCUACAUGUGUUCUUUUCUUUGUUUAUGUUUCUUUUAAUUACGUGUGAAACACUUUAGGAUCCAUUUGGAUGAAGCAAUUUUAAUGUUCAUAAAAGGUGUUUUUUUCUAUGUUUUUGUUUCUUUUGAUUAUGUGUGAAACACUUUAGGACCCAAUUAGAUGAAGCAGUUCUAAUGUCUGUAGUGUGUUCUUUUCCUAUGUUUUUGUUUUUUAUUUUAUUACGUGAAACAUUUUAGGACCUAUUUGGAUAAAACAAUUGUAAUGUACCGAGUGUAUUUUUUUUAAUAUAUUUUUGUUUAUUUUGAUUAAAUGUGAAACACUUUUAGAUCCAUAUGGACCAAACGAUUCUAAAUGAUUCCUUGCAUAUUGUCCUCACUUUCAAAUUCUUCCAUCCGAGUGGUGUAAGAUUAUGACGAGUGUUGCUUUUAUACCAACCAUCCAAAUCGUUUAAUGAUAAUCAUUUCAGACAAGCACCGAAACCCCUGCACUAAAUUGAGGGUUCUGAUUGGUUGUCCAGACUUCACAAGAGAGCAUAAUAUUCCCUCAUCAAUAUUAAGCUUCUUUAUUUUAUUAGGCGUAGUUCAAAAUUUCCAUCGACUGGCACUUGGAAUGUUCCAAUGUUUAGUAGUUUUGGUUAAUGAACUUCUCUACCUCUCAUCAACGUAAUCUAUUAAGGAAAAGAAAUGAAAAAUAAGAACAGCACAGAUACAGCCUGCCUUGGCCACGCCCAUAGAUUUUGCUUUUGCAUCUGAUAUAUUUUAGGCACAAAAUUUUAUACAACCGGUGCCUUCAAAAUGUGCCUUAGAAAAACUGUGUUAUAUACGCAAAGUUGUAUAAAAUUAGUGUCACAUACAAAUUAGUGUCAUGUAUUAUGUAUACAAGUAUAUUGUGUAAUUUUCACCUAUUAUCGCACAAGAAGUUCUAUUUUAUGAUCAUCCGCUUACAAGCAUCAUAGCCAAUUAAAUGAGACCAAAUAAAAGCAUCUUCAAUAAUAUAGACAAACGAAUAAAUAAACUUAUUUUUGUGAGCGACGUAAACAAAAACUUGCUCCAACAAUAUAUAUAAAAGUAAUUGAAUAGAUAAAUCCUCAAUCCAUCAAAGUAAUGAUAAAUAGAAAGAAAGACUAGGUCAAUUGCUAUCAUUUGUAAGAUGGGGUUGCUAUCAUGUAAAUUGUAUUUUGCUUGGAUGUACUUGCCCAAGGCACACUUGACUAUUGACCCGGAAAGACAGACUUGACUUUGAAGGAUUCUAACGCGUAUAAUAUGUUUAGAUAUACAUGCAAUAUGACUCAGCCCUUGUCUGGGUUUGGUUUCUGUCGACCCUUUGCGUACCGGCGGGGUUUCGAACAACCUUCAUUUCUACAGAAAAAUGUUUGCUUUCUAUUGAACUCUGGCUCACUGAUCUGUACGUUACGAUGUUAGAUUUUGUCCAGUUCAGUGAAAAGAAAGAGGGUUACUCACAUAAAUAACAAUUUAUGUUAUUUAUGCGAGUGGGUGAAUAACUUUAAACUCACACAAAUCUUGCAUCAAACACUAUAGAAAAGUGAGCAAUAGCUAUCAAAACUAGUAGUUGUUAUUAGGGUAACAAUAAUGUUUCUAGUGAGAAAUAUAUAUAUUUUAAUACAUAUUAGUUAGCAUUAUGGUGUAGCAGUUACUUACCUUUUGGCUUUUUGUCACGUUUUCUCAUUGGUAACAUUGUUUUUACCACAGUAGUAGAAAGGUGUUGUACUCUUACAUAACAGUGUGCAUUCAAAUAUCGUUGGUUGCUAAUCUAAUAUCUACCUUACUAGUGAUAUUGCUCAACUCAAUAAAAAAAAAAAAAAAAAAAAGAAACACAGCUAUGAAAAUAACUACUAAUUGCGGUAGCUAUUGCCCCGUCUUUUUGUAGUGAAACUAAAUUUUUAAAUAUUUUGACAGUUUAUUGAAUAGAAAGAUGUUUGGUUUAAAGAGUCUUGCUCUCGUCUAUACGUUAAUUAGCGGUUGAUAAUUUUGUGGGCCAACAACUUAAACUUAUAUAAGAUUAACCUAAUGCAUCUUGCAUUAAACAAUGACUUGAUACAACUUUGUUCAACAAAUUGACAAGAUAACUGCGCAUGUUAUUUUAUUUACUUAUUACGUGUUUCGAGGUUUUAUAUAUUCUUUGGUAUUUAACAACGCUGGUUUGUCAAUUCCUGAAAUUUUUUUCUUAUAUAUAGAAAACUUUUUUCAGUACAAAAAUUAAUAUGAAAGUACUUUUCUAUAAGUGUAGCAUAUUCUAUUGACCAAUAUAUGAACAAAUUGAACUUAUAUUAUUGUUUGCUGCACUCGCUUUUUUCAUGUAAGGAUAUUUCAAUAUUUUAGUGUGGCCCAUAGUAAGUGGUUCAUGUGUGAUAUAUUAAAUUAAAUUGAUAUUGUUUUGGAAGCAAUUUUAUUGGUCAAAGAGCUGCUAUUGCUGUUGCCUUGUACUCUACUUCGUGGUUGAUAAAGAUACUGUUGAUUGUCUCUUACUGCGCCAUGAAAUUAUUCGUAAAUCAGUUUGAUGGGAGCAUAUUUAUACAAUUUUAUUAUCUUAUUUCUUUGCAUUUACUUAGUUAAUUUCUAUUUAUUAUAGUAAUUUAAGUUAUUUUCAUAUUAUUGUAGGUCCAGUUGGUAAUGAUGGCAAUAAAUGGCAAAACUAGAAGAAAAAAGCUCAUCUACCACGGUGGAUGUCUAUGAUAAAUUACAAUCUACCACAGGCAUUAUGCCCGUUAGUAUUUUGGAUGUGAUAGAAAGUUUUGUUUCUACCACGAACUAUUCACGUUGUCAAAUGCAAUGUAACCACGGAUUGUGCUUGUGGUAGAUUGGGAUCUAACACCACGUGUUAUGGCCAUUGUGGAUUACAAAUUGAUCACGGUUAAUGCUCGUUAUAAAAAAAUUUCCAAAGUAAAAAAAAAAAAAAAAAAUUAUUUAAUAGAUAAAAAAAUAUAUAUAAAUAUACAAAAUUGCAAAUUUAAUUUUAUUAAAAUUCAUAUAUUAAAAUUCAUAUAUUAAUAUACCAAAUCACCAAAAUAUGUAGAGACUUUGCUUCACACUCUAAAACAAAACUCAAGUCCUAGUACCAAUCUUGGUCCUCCAAUGCUAUUCGUCUUCUCUGCAAUUUUUUCUUUAAGAAGACACACAUCUUCUGCAAGCCAAUCACAUUUUAAAUUUGCAGGUGGCUGUAAAUAUAGCUGAUAUUUGAGUUAUAAACCCUCAUGAAUUAGAACCACCAACCAUCUAUGAGACAAACAAGGAAAAAUAUAUAGCUUACAAAUCAGAACUCAUCACACAGGGCCCAUAGACCGACCUGUAAAAAAAAUUGAUUGCAAUAAUUCAAGGUUUUCCUUUUUUAUUUCGAACCACCUAGUCAUAGAUUGAGUUUCUUACUCGAAGAGUAUUGUGAUAUGAAAAAUAAUAGUCAAAAUCUAGAAGGAGAGACACAAAGAGACCUCAUGUAUUUGUCAAGCAUAUGAAGAUCAAUGUGGAUGUCUUCCUCUGUGUGUGUGUGAGAGCGAGCGAGGAGAGAGGAGAGUUUUCCAUGGGGCUUCCAUUACAGUAAUUAAGAACAAUCAAAACAUGCCACUCUAAAAUUUUAGGAGAAAUGAGAGUUUGCCACAAUAACCAUCGAGGUUUGGAGCUCUUGAGGUGAGAUCUUCCUAAGAAUAAACAUGCCACUCUAAAAUUUUAGGAAAUUGUGAACCAUGCAUGGCAUUGUGAAUAAGAAGAGUGUUUUGCUUUUCAAAACAUUAUGAUUGCGGCUUAAACUAUAUUGUAUCGUCCCUUGCAUGCUUUCUUUUGAUUAAGAACAAUCAAGGGCUGGAAUUUGUAACUUCAAGUGCCCUGAUAUUAAGUGUGGAACCCACAUAAAGAAAUUCCUUUUAUACUAUAAAAUGGGAAAGGCUUAAACAAUAACAUAGCAUGACUAACCACUUGUUGCCAGCUCUCUUGCAUCCCGAUCGUUAUGGCCUCUGGCUCCGAAUGCACCUAAAAGAAUUCAAAGGACAGACCAAACAAAAUGACCAUCCAAAUUUUACCAAAAAAAAAAAAAAAAAAAAACCAGGAAUAUAAGCAUAAUAAUCACCACAAAUACAAAUAAUUUGUCUUUUCUUGCUUACACCAUUUUUUAUAUUUGUCCCGACAUUUUUGUUACCUUGGUUCUCUCAUUUGAAACCUUGAGAACCAUGAGUCUUUUGCGAGAUUGGCUCCAUUACAUUCUGGAGUUUGUUCUUUUACUCAUAAUUAAUUUAAACAUAAUUAUGCAGGAACACCAAACUCCCAUUAUGCAAACCCAAUUUAGCAACCCAACAAUUUUCUUCAGCAAUUCAAUAAGUAGGGACAAUCAGAGACUUAAAAUUUUGAUUAGUCCCAAGACCAAAAAUAAGCAUAAAAAUCAAAGAAUUAAACUUGGCAAUAAUUUACUCACCAAUUGUAAUCAGAUUUCUCAUUCCCUAAAUUCAACAACUCAUCCACCCAGCUAUUCCGUUGCUGCGCCACAACUAGAAAUCCUAGCAGCUUCGCGAAUGUCAAUUAUGCAGAAACCAAACACAACCCAUCAUCAAGACAAAGCGAGCUCUUCCUCCCCCCCCCCCCCCGAUCUCGAGACAAAACAAGCUCUUCAUCUCUGUAGUUUAGGGUCGGAAAAUCGUCGACAUAAGCGAAUUGGAUGAGACCUGAUGGUUGAGGGCAUCUGCCUGAAAAUUGUAAAUAGGGUUUGAGAUCUGAAAUUUGGGCAUUUAUUAUUAUACUAGUUGAUUUAAAAAAUAAAAAAUUUAAAUUACAGAUAACAAUUACAGUCAGUCAUAAAUUAAAAAGGCGCUGUUGUUAAAACUUUUUGCGAUCACAGGCUUUCCUUGUGGUAAUAUUUAGCUAAAUUAGAACGGGCUAUAAACGCGCAUUGUUAUUUUAACCAUUUCAAUCACAGGUUUGUUUAUGCCCGUUGUUAUAAUAAUUAUUUACCACGAACUUCAAAUGUCCAUGGUUAAAUUUGACUUUUUAUAACAAACUUUAUACGUCUGUGGUCAAUUAGCCAUGGUAGAUGUAGUGUUGUGGCGUAGUGUGGAGAAAUUUAGAGUAGUUUUGGACUUGGAUUGGAUAGCAGACUGAUAGGAGCAUAUUUAUGCGCCUUAGUUAGCUAGUUCUUAUGCAUUUUUGUUAUGUUUUUUUCGUCAAAGUAGUCUUUUAAGCUACUUUCAUGUGUUUUCAGGGUUAAAGGACAUAUUACACGAAAUGAUGCAAUUUGGAGCUUUUGGAGCAAAAAGUGAGCUGGAAUGUGGUGUAUGCAAAUGGAGCACGAGGAAUGGACGAGUUUGAAGGUCAAAGAAGCUUAAGAAUGAAGAAAUGAAAGUGAUGAACUAAGAAUUCGGAAUUGGAAACCAAAGUUUCUAAAGUUGGAAGUUUCUAUUCUUGGAGGUUUCCAAUUUCGAGAGUUUCUAUUCUCGGCUUUGGGCUUUUGGAUGACCCAUCUUUGCCUCUUGGACCUAUGCCGCACCUAGGCCUUGUUCACAUGAAAAAAAUCUGAUUACUUACCCUAAGCCCAUGCCGCACCUAAUGUUCUAGAAACCCUAGUUUUUGGUGGAUUUCCUAACCCUAGCCGCACCUAAAACCCUAGCCCAUUUGUCUAACCUGAUUUCUUUAGGGUUUGGCUGCCUAUAUAUAUGUGUUUUUACCUCCCUUGGCCGAACACCACCCUCUCCAUAUUCAGAAAUUCGUCCAAAACCCUAUUUCCCAUCUUGCCGCACCUUUCCUUCAUUCCAGCCGAUUUCUACCACCAUUCUUCAUCUCCACACCUUCCACACAACACCCAUACACCAUCCCCAAGCCUUGCCGUGCCUUCCCACCACCAUCACCACCUUGUGCAGCCACCAUUGGAGGAGGAAGAAGUAGUGCCGUGCAUUCCAAAGGAGGAAGACACCUUGCACAUGCAAUCUGCCAUUAGUGGAGUGUUUGGAGUUCUUUCUUUCUUUGUUUCUGUUUUCAUGUUUAAUUUAAAUUGUUGUUCAAUUAUGUUAGACAUGUGGAACUAAUUUCUUUUUAGUUAGAGGUGAAUUUGAAGCCAUGGACAUAUGUUUUAUAUGAUUUGAUUUCUUCCAAUUAUGAUUUCAGAAAUUGUGAAUGUGAUUUACUUAUCUAUUUGAUUGAUAACUUGUUUAUGUAUGUGGGUUGAGGGUCGACACUUAAUUUGCAUGCCUAAACUUGAUGCUAGGAUAUAAGGGAAUUUCACCUAAUCGCUAUUAACUUGUAUUCAUAAGUAGUGAAAGUCGCUAGUCACGAUUGUGUUAAGUAAAUCCUAGGCAAGAAUAACAUGUGUAUCCCAUAGUUAUGAAUGCCUCGUCAAUGCUUAUGAUUUCCAUUAAACUUAAUGAUCUUUGAUAUGUGUCUCUAUCAUGCGUAUUCCAUAGUUAGGGUCCUUGAUAAGAAUAAUUUGGUUGUAAUGCGUAUUCCAUUCAAUUCAAUGAAUCUAGGGAAAUCUGAGAAUUAAUUGGUGCAAUCUAGUUAAUUUGGGGCAUUGUCAUUCAUGGUUUGUUGAAAGAGUAAUUGGACAUCGAGUUGUAUGCAUAUGUUCAUGUGUGGAUAAGGAACCCUCUAACUAGCUUCUCACCAUUCUAUUUAAUCACAAUAUGUGCUGCUUUACAUUUGUUUUUAAAGUCUGAGUUUUAAAGUUUUAAUUUCGUCAAAAUCAUUCCCCCAUUUAUUUUAAAGUGUUAGAUUAGUUAGAAAUCCAUUUAGUUGUGUUUUUAAGUGUUUUGAGUCAAGUUAUAGUCCAAAUUCGUCCAAACUAGUGUUAGGUACUCAAAACUGCCCAGAAAGUGGUUUUAAGGCAGUUUUGAGCCUUUUAGUUGCUGUUUUGAGUUUUUAGUUUGUUUAGGUGUUUUAAACCCUAGUUUUGCAUUAAUUGAGUCUAGUUUAGUGUUCUACAUUAUAUUUUUAUGUUCUUGAGUCAGUUUUACAUUGAUUAGCAUCCCUAGUUAAUCCCCGGUUAGAACGAUCCCCUAUUUGCUCAUAUACUACAAUUGUCAUCCAUAGGGUUUAAUUUGUGUGUCAACAUAAUUUUCACAUCAAAUUUUGGCGCCGUUGCCGGGGAUUAGCAAAAUUGCUAAUCCCUUGUGUUUUUUUUGCCGUGUGUUUUAGUAUAAUUUACCUAGUUUGCUUAUUUUGUUUUGUUUUCUUGGUUUAGGUACUAGUGCAUGACGCGGAGCUCUCAAACCGUGCACGCACACAUAUUGGAUUUCAACGACGAUUUUGAACGUGAUUUGAGAAGAAAGAGGAGGCAUCCCGAACCUAGUGAACCUAGUUCAAGUUCAGAGGCCGAAUCUGAGUUUGAAGAAGUGGAAGAAGAAGUUAUGGCAGUGGACAAUCGGACCAUUAAAGAGCUUUCGGCCUCGGGGUUGACAAAUGCCGCACCAUUAUGCAUUCAAUACCCCGCGGCUGCCCAAGGCAAGACCGAUGAAUUCGAGUUGAAGUCAAGCUUGUUGCACCACAUUCCGAAAUACCAUGGGCUUUCCAUGGAAGAUCCCAACAAGCAUCUCAAGGAGUUCGAGGUUGUUUGUUCGAGCAUGACACCCAUCAAUGUUGACGGGAGUAUUUUGAUGAUGAAGGCUUUUCCAUUCUCACUUUUGGAAAAGGCGAAAGAUUGGCUUUACGAGUUAGCACCCGGAACGGUUACAUCUUGGGAUAGUAUGAAAAGAGCGUUCUUGGAGAAGUUUUUCCCAACGUCAAGAGUCAUUCUCUUGAGGAAACGGAUUAGUGGCAUCCAACAAAACCCAGGUGAAUCGUUUCCUUCUUAUUAUGAACGUUUUAAAUCACUUGUUGCUUCUUGUCCACAGCAUCAAAUGAAGGAGGAGCUACUCAUUCAAUACUUCUACGAAGGACUCCUCCCCAUGGAACGCCAAAUGCUUGAUGCCUCGGCGGGAGGAGCGUUGGUGGAUAAGACUCCGGGGGCUGCAAAAGUUCUAAUUGCCAAUCGAGCACAUAAUGCACAACAAUACGAAGGUGUUGGACAAAGGGACCCCCCACGGCCACAAGUGAAUGAGGUAAGUUCUAUGCCCGAGAUUCAAUCCCAAUUAGCUAACCUUACUUCUAUUGUUCUCAGUUAGCCGAGGGAAUGAAGAUUCAUGGACCAAGUGUGUGUGGCGUGUGCUCGGUGCAAGGACAUGCCAAUGAUCAAUGCCCUCAAUUGAUUGAGAAUGGGGGUUGGGAAGCUGCCAAUGUCGUUGGUUUUGGGAACCAAAAUCAACCACGCCAUGAUCCAUACUCUAAUUCCUACAAUCCGGGGUGGAGAGACCAUCCAAAUUUCAAAUGGCGGGAUCCUCAACAACCCCAACAACAAGGAGGAUUUAGGCAGCAACCACCGGGCUUUUAUACAAAGCCAUUCGUCCCCAAUCAAAACCAAGUGCAAUCUGCCCCACCAACCUCAGGUACGUCUUUGGAUAAUGAUCAAGUUGUUAAGUUACUUACUACUUUGACGCAGGAAGUACAAACUCAAAAUAAGGAGAGACAAAUCCAAGACAAACGGGUGGAUAAUUUGGAGAAGCAAAUGGGUCAAAUUGCCGAAUUCAUGGGGCAAAUUAGAGAACAAGGCAGAUUGCCUAGUUCAACCGUUGUGAACCCGAAGGGAGGAUUUGAAACCGCUAAGGCCAUCAUGUUGAGAAGUGGUAAACAGGUUGGAACGGACUCAAAUACAUCCAAAUCGAGUCAAGAAGAGGAGGACAGGUUGCUGCAAGAAGAAGCACAGGGAGCAAAGCCCACGGCCAAGGAUGACCAAACCUUGCCGCCACCCUCUAACCCUCCUAAAUCGUCCUCAACCACCAAGGUAAGUCCAAAUUCAACUUUUUCUAGUUCUAUUCCACUGAAUGUGCCCUUUCCUGGCAGGUUUAGGCAAUCAAAGAAGGAAGAACCCGAGAAGGACAUUCUAGAGACCUUUCGGAAAGUUCAAGUCAAUAUCCCGCUCCUUGAUGCGAUUAAGCAAGUCCCGAGGUAUGCUAAGUUCUUAAAAGAACUUUGUACAACAAGGAGAAGGAUUUCGAACAAAGAGGUGGUCCAAGUAAGUGAAAACGUCUCUGCUGUGUUACAAAGGAAAUUACCCCCUAAAUGCAAAGAUCCGGGUAGUUUUACAAUUCCAUGCGUUAUUGGUAAUACUAAGUUUGAACAAUGCAUGUUAGACUUAGGGGCUUCGAUUAAUGUUAUGCCAUACUCAAUUUAUGCAUCUAUGAACUUAGGUGAGCUUAAAAAUGAUGGUGUGAUAAUUCAAUUAGCCGAUCGUUCUAAUGCAUACCCAAAGGGUGUUUUUUUGGAAGAUGUUUUGGUGCAGGUUGGUAAUUUGAUUUUUUCCAGCGGACUUUUACGUGCUUGACAUGGAGGAUUCACCCCAUUCUACCCCAUUGCCGAUUCUAUUAGGGAGGCCCUUCAUGAAAACAGCCCGCACCAAGAUAGAUGUGUUUAAAGGAACUUUAACGAUGGAAUUUGAUGGGGAAGUCAUUGAUUUUAAUCUUUCUGAAAGUAUUAAAUUUCCUAAGGACGAUCAUUCUUGCUUUUCUAUUGAUAUAAUUGAUGAUUUGGCGCAGGAUUUUCUCGAUUGUUUGGAGAGGGAUACACUUGAAACAACAAUUGCACAAGGAAUUGGGCACAAAAAUGGUGUUGCCGUGCCUAGAAGUGAGGAUGAGGCCGAGAUAGUGGCUGCCCUUGAGUCACUCCCUCAACACCAUGGUAAGCCUUCUAACCCAAUUUCAAUUCCAGUUUCCACUAAUAAGAUGUUACCCUCAGUGAUUCAGGCACCCGUACUUGAGCUUAAACCGUUACCCGAUCAUUUAAAGUACGUUUUUCUGGGAGACAACGAGACAUUGCCCGUCAUUGUCUCUUCAUCACUCACGGCCAUAGAGGAGGAGAAGUUGAUCCGAGUGUUGAAAGAGCACAAGACGGCCAUUGGGUGGACUUUGGCCGAUAUUAGGGGAAUUAGCCCAACUACGUGCAUGCAUCGCAUACUUCUAGAGGAUGGGGCUAAACCAACUCGAGAGGCUUAGCGCCGUCUCAACCCUCCAAUGAUGGAAGUUGUGAAAAAGGAGAUUAUCAAACUUCUUGAUUGUGGAGUGAUUUAUCCGAUCUCUGAUAGUCGUUGGGUGUCACCGGUGCGAUGUGUUCCAAAGAAGUCCGGAGUGACCGUGGUGAAGAAUGCCGAGAAUGAGCUUGUGCCAACCCGUAUCCAAACAGGUUGGCGAGUGUGCAUUGAUUAUAGGAAGCUCAACGCCACCACAAGGAAGGACCACGUCCCUUUGCCGUUCAUUGAUCAAAUGCUUGAAAGGUUAGCCGGUCAUUCUUUUUAUUGUUUCCUUGGUGGUUAUUCUGGAUAUAAUCAGAUUGUCAUAGCGCCGGAUGACCAAGAAAAGACAACUUUCACAUGCCCCUUUGGUACUUUUGCUUAUCGUCGCAUGCCUUUUGGUUUAUGCAAUGCUCCGGCCACAUUUCAAAAGUGUAUGGUAAGUAUCUUUUCAGAUUUUGUGGAAAAGAUUAUUGAGGUAUUUAUGGAUGAUUUCAGUGUGUUUGGUGAUUCAUUUGAUGGAUGUUUGGAAAAUCUCACAAUAAUUUUGAAAACGAUGUGUAGAAACUAACCUAGUGCUUAAUUGGGAAAAAAUGUCACUUUAUGGUUAGACAAGGCAUAGUUCUAGGGCAUAUUGUUUCAGAAAGAGGAAUUGAAGUGGAUAAAUCGAAAAUAGAUCUUGUACGCUAUUUACCCUCUCCUACUUCGGUUCGAGAGGUUCGUUCGUUUCUUGGUCAUGCAGGAUUUUAUAGGCGAUUUAUCAAGGACUUCUCCAAGAUCUCAAACCCUCUUUGCCGUCUCCUCCAGAAAGAUGUGGCGUUUGACUUCAACAAGGAGUGUGAGAAGGCGUUCAAUCACCUAAAGGACAUGCUAACUUCGGCCCCUAUCAUAGUUCCACCGGAUUGGAGCCUUCCUUUUAAGCUUAUGUGCGACGCUUCCGAUUAUGCAUUAGGAGCUGUUUUGGGGCAAAGGAAGGACAAGAGGCCGCAUGCUAUCUAUUAUGCCUCUCGGACUUUAAAUGAUGCACAAUUGAAUUAUUCCACCACUGAAAAAGAACUUCUAGCUGUUGUAUUUGCUUUAGAUAAAUUCCGUUCUUAUUUGCUUGGUACUAAAGUUAUUAUUUAUACUGACCAUGCAGCAUUGAAGUAUUUGUUCACCAAGAAGGAGGCCAAACCACGACUCAUUCGUUGGAUGCUUCUUCUCCAAGAGUUCGAUAUCGAAAUCCGGGACAAGAAGGGAAGUGAAAACGUGGUGGCUGACCACUUGAGCCGUAUGGUGCAUGAGGAGGAUGCCGUGCCUAUCAUAGAGACAUUCCCAGAUGAGCAACUGAUGUCCAUCAAGGUAAGUGAACCAUGGUAUGCUGAUUUGGUGAAUUAUUUGGUGUCUAAACAUGUUCCUAGUGAAUUACUUAAACACCAAGGUGAUAAAUUGAAGAAAGAGGCACGGUUUUAUGUGUGGGAUGACCCGUAUUUAUGGAAAUAUUGCCCUGACCAAGUUAUACGUAGGUGUGUGCACGAUUCUGAGUUUAAUGCUAUUCUAACAUUUUGUCACACUUAUGCUUGUGGGGGACACUUUGGCACUAAUAGAACAGCACUUAAGGUAUUAGAAUGUGGUUUCUAUUGGCCUACCAUCUUUAGGGAUGCUAGAACAUUUUGCAUGUCUUGUGAUAGAUGCCAAAGAACGGGCAAUAUAGGUCCUAAACAACAAAUGCCGCAAACCCCCAUUUUUAGUGUUGAAAUAUUUGAUGUUUGGGGUAUUGAUUUUAUGGGUCCCUUUCCUUCGUCACAUGGAUUUCUUUAUAUAUUACUUGCUGUGGAUUAUGUGUCGAAGUGGGUGGAAGCAAAAGCCACCCGAACUAAUGAUUCUCGAGUGGUUGCAGAUUUUGUGAAAACUAACAUUUUUGCAAGGUUCGGAAUGCCACGAGUGCUCAUUAGUGAUGGAGGUUCCCAUUUUUGUAAUCGAACCAUCGAGGCGUUGCUCAAGAAAUACAAUGUCACGCAUAAGGUGGCCACACCUUAUCAUCCUCAAACGAGCGGGCAAGCCGAGGUUUCGAAUAGGGAAAUCAAGCAAAUUCUUGAGAAGACCGUGGGGCCUACGAGGAAGGAUUGGAGUUUGCGCUUAAACGAUGCAUUGUGGGCGUAUCGCACUACUUACAAAACCCCCAUUGGGAUGUCACAUUUUCGGCUCAUCUAUGGGAAGCCAUGCCAUCUUCCCGUCGAGUUAGAGCAUCGUGCACACUGGGCCGUCAAAACGUUUAACAUGGACCUUGAUGCCGCAGGUUUACAUAGGAAGCUCCAAUUGUGUGAACUUGAGGAAAUCCGAAAUGAAGCAUAUGAGAAUGCCCGGAUUUACAAGGAGAAAACGAAGGCAUUCCAUGACAAGAUGAUUCGUGCCAAGACGUUCUCUAUUGGGCAGAAAGUGUUGUUGUUCAAUUCUCGCCUUCGGUUGUUUCCGGGUAAGUUGCGUUCCAAAUGGGUUGGUCCUUUUAUUGUAACUAAUGUUUUCCCUCAUGGUGCAGUGCAAAUCAAGAGUGCAAGGACGCAACAAGAAUUCAAAGUGAAUGGGCAUCGAUUGAAGCCCUAUUACGAGAUGUUUGAGGAGCAUGUCGUGGAGGAGGUACCCCUCCAUGCCGUGGCACAUAGUCAAGCUUAAACGGAGGUACCGUCCGGCUGGAAGACGUUAAAGCAAGCGCUUCGUGGGAGGCAACCCAUGCAUUUGACAAAGGAAGACCUAGAGAGCACUCCAAUUCCAGAUUUGCGUUUCUAAACCCUUCUCUUUGUUGUUUCUUUCGUUUCUGCCAUGUUUAGUUUGUUAGUAUUGGUUUGUUUGUUUAUGUGUUUUUGUGUGAGUCUAUGCUUGAAACAUUGAGGACAAUGUUUGGUUUAAGUGUGGGGGGGGUAACCAAAGUGUUUUGAUGCAAAUUCGUAGGGUUUUCUCACUCAUAAUUUCCAAUGUUGUUUCUUGCUGUUUUUAGGUGUUUUUAGGCUGUUUUGGUGUGUUUUAAUGUGUUUUGAUUCAAAAAUCCGAAAAUCCCAUAAAAAUUUGAAAAUUUGUUUUAAAAAAAACCCAAAAAGAGUCGUUUUUAAGUUAUUUUUGUGUGUUUGUUUGUGUCUUAGGGUACCUUCCAACACAAUGAUGAGGAUUUGGUUUUUAAUUGCAUGACUAUUGAAGAGAGUUAUAAACAUGGAUGGAAGUUUGAUUUACUCUUGGUUUAUGCUUAGUUGUAGUUAUAACUUAUGAAUUCACAUGUAAUCAAAAAGAAAAAAAUCAGUUUUUGUGACAUGCUUGAAGGAAGAAACUCAAACUAAAGCUACAACCCUGAGAGACUUGAGCCUAAACUUUAUUUGGAGAGUUGAAAUCUGUGCAUUCUUGUUUUCUAAAGUCGUUGCAUGAUCUCAUUAUUCUUUGCUUGGUUACUACUUAGAAGGUGUUUCAUCAUUUAGUUCCAAAUGCUAGAACUCAUGCCAAUUUCAUUCAAAACAUUUCAUUGAAUUGCAUAACACAUAUUCGAGAAGAAGUUGUUUAGUAGUUGCCACCAUAUCCAAAAAGCCUUCAUUCCAUACAUUGUUUUUGUAGGUUUAACCCCGUUGAGCCUUAUUUAGCCUAUAUUGUUUGUUAACCCACAUUAUCCUUACCUAGCCUAGAUUAGGACCAUCCAUACCCUUGUUCUUGAAGCAUAGUAAGCAUGACUUAAAAUGAAUUCCUUUUGAUUGAGGGUGUGCAGAGAACAAGUGUGGGGGAGUGAUUUUUGAUAGGUGGAUGUGCCAAAGUCUCUUUUGAGGCACGAGAAAAAAAAAAUAAGAAAAAAAAAGAAAAAAAAAAGAAAGAAAAUUCGUAGAAAAAAAAAAGAGAAAAAAAAAGAAAAAUGUUGAGAAAAGUGUGAAAAAGAGUUGAAAGAGCAUGGAAAUGAGCUCUAAGGUGUUGGUUGUUGAAGAGGGGGUCCAAAACAUUGAAUUUGACCCCAAGUGUUGCAUGAAUUUCCCCUUUGAGUUAAAAGUUGAUUUUUGCAUUCAAAAGUGAAUUCUAAGUGUCAAUUUCAUUGCUUUGCUUACUAUUGUUUAAGAACGUUUGUUUAUCCUUCACCUUUCUUUGUUAACCAAUACCCCAAGCCCCGUUACAACCCUUAACUUCUAUCUUGAGUGUUGUGUAUUUCAAUUUAUGGAGUUUGGGAUUGGUAUGAGCAUAUGGUGUCACUGGUUCUCGCAUCUAAGUAGUAGCAUUCCUUUCAUGAGAUCAUAUACAUGCUUAUUAAAUUCAGAAAAAGCUUUCCUUGUUAUAACAUAUGUGAGCAUUCGUUUUCAUAUUUACAUCAAUCUUCUCACAUAUAACUAGUAUAGGGUGUGUAGUCAGAAAAUCUAUGUGAAAAUUGAGUGCAUAUCUAGUAAGGAAUUGAGCAAAUUCUCUAAGGCAUGUUACUACAUUCAAAAUCAUGUUUUAAUUGGUUAAAUGUGAACUAGUACGUGGUGGCUUUAAUUAAGUAUAUGCUUGUGUAAAGAUGACUAAAAUCUGUGGGGAUAACAAUCUUUAACAUGUCAUGUGCAUUGGAAAUCCCUGAGGCAAACGUUGGAAGGUUUAGGUUGUGUUUUGGUUAGUUUGUUUCGUUUUGUUUUCCUUCUUUUGUUUGUUUUGCUCGAGGACUAGCAAAAGCUAAGUGUGGGGGAAUUUGAUAGGAGCAUAUUUAUGCGCCUUAGUUAGCUAGUUCUUAUGCAUUUUUGUUAUGUUUUCUUCGUCAAAGUAGUCUUUUAAGCUACUUUCAUGUGUUUUCAGGGUUAAAGGACAUAUUACACGAAAUGAUGCAAUUUGGAGCUUUUGGAGCAAAAAGUGAGCUGGAAUGUGGUGUAUGCAAAUGGAGCACGAGGAAUGGAUGAGUUUGAAGGUCAAAGAAGCUUAAGAAUGAAGAAAUGAAAGUGAUGAACUAAGAAUUCGGAAUUGGAAACCAAAGUUUCUAAAGUUGGAAGUUUCUAUUCUUGGAGGUUUCCAAUUUCGAGAGUUUCUAUUCUCGGCUUUGGGCUUUUGGAUGACCCAUCUUUGCCUCUUGGACCUAUGCUGCACCUAACCCUAACCCUAGCCCACUUAAUCAGCCGCACCUAGGCCUUGUUCACAUGAAAAAAAUCUGAUUACUUACCCUAAGCCCAUGCCGCACCUAAUGUUCUAGAAACCCUAGUUUUUGGUGGAUUUCCUAACCCUAGCCGCACCUAAACCCUAGCCCAUUUGUCUAACCUGAUUUCUUUAGGGUUUGGCUGCCUAUAUAUAUGUGUUUUACCUCCCUUGGCCGAACACCACCCUCUCCAUAUUCAGAAAUUCGUCCAAAACCCUAUUUCCCAUCUUGCCGCACCUUUCCUUCAUUCCAGCCGAUUUCUACCACCAUUCUUCAUCUCCACACCUUCCACACAACACCCAUACACCAUCCCCAAGCCUUGCCGUGCCUUCCCACCACCAUCACCACCUUGUGCAGCCACCAUUGGAGGAGGAAGAAGUAGUGCCGUGCAUUCCAAAGGAGGAAGACACCUUGCACAUGCAAUCUGCCAUUAGUGGAGUGUUUGGAGUUCUUUCUUUCUUUGUUUCUGUUUUCAUGUUUAAUUUAAAUUGUUGUUCAAUUAUGUUAGACAUGUGGAACUAAUUUCUUUUUAGUUAGAGGUGAAUUUGAAGCCAUGGACAUAUGUUUUAUAUGAUUUGAUUUCUUCCAAUUAUGAUUUCAGAAAUUGUGAAUGUGAUUUACUUAUCUAUUUGAUUGAUAACUUGUUUAUGUAUGUGGGUUGAGGGUCGACACUUAAUUUGCAUGCCUAAACUUGAUGCUAGGAUAUAAGGGAAUUUCACCUAAUCGCUAUUAACUUGUAUUCAUAAGUAGUGAAA
rnacentral:lncRNA from 1 species